rnacentral:lncRNA from 1 species
GAGAUCCGGAGAAGAUCUGCCUCGCCACCUCAAUAUCCGAUCCGGAGAAGAUCGGAUAGAAGGUGGAGGCAUACGGCAUCAUGAAGGCUCAGGAGAAGUUUCAUAAAGCGCUACCAGGAAACGCUUGGACUGUAUUGAAGAGCAUUUCCAAUGCAACAAAUCUUUCUCUACUUGUCUAAGCUCGUCUUUUUCCUUGUUUUUUCUGCUUUUGUGAAACAUACGUGUUUGUGUAAGAUGCUUCCACGUUUUCAAAUAAAGUGAUCAGUCAGUUUAUAAUUGAACAUCACUGGAGUUUUAAUAAGAGAAAACCAACAGAAUACAUGCAAGAGGAGAAGCCCAUACCCUUCUAAAAGGUUGGGAAGUGUUUUUGAAAUCAGUUUUUAAGAAUAAUUUUUUGAUGUUCUUAUAAACAAAAUUAUGUUUGAAAAUUGAUUACUACUCAAAAAGUGCUAUUUGAUAGCCUGUAAUUAACUUUUUUAAACACUUUUGAGUAGUAGUUAUCACCUUUUAACCCAAUUAACAUAUUAAGGACCCUUGCAAUCAAUUCUAAUCAAAUUGUGUUAAGUUUUGGUGUUUUGAUAGCUUUUUGAUCACCAAAGCAAUCAGAGAUUGAGGAGAGUUCUUUGGAAUCCAUGGCAAAGACGUCCGGACAAGGUGUCCGGACACACCAUUGGAGAGUGGCGGAACGUGGGCUGUAGCAAGGCUUGCUCGCUUUAGUCAAUGUUUUCCAUCCGGACAACAUAUCUGGAUAGGAUAUGCUAUCGUCCGGGUGUGAUGUUCACGAGUGCCGUGUGCUUCUCCCUGAGAGAAUCCGGAUAGCAUUGCGCCGCCUUUCCGCUUGGGGAAUCCGGAUGGAAUUGAUCCGGAUAGCCUGGCGGCGCGGGACAUUUCAUAUCCGGAAUUCCGUGCGUCGACAUUUUUACAUCCGGAUGUGAGCCGUGCGCCGACGUUUUACAUCCGGAUAUCUCACAUCCGGAUGGGAGAGGAGGACGUUUCAACUUUUCCGGAUAGACAUAUCCAGACCUUCUGAUAGCGCUUACCUACAGAGUUUUUCUCUCAGUAUACAGUGCAGUGGUGUUCUCCUGAAGCUUCCUGAUAUUUUCGACCGACAUUUUGAGAUAUUUUGGGAUAUUUUGCUUUAGAUAUUUGAUGUUUAAAUCCCCAAACUCUCCUUGUAAUCCACCUAUCAUAGGAUUUCUUAGUCUUUAAGUAAGUACAAAGGGUGAAUAACCUCAUAUAUAUAGUUUGUAAUUUUCUUUACAAUGAUAUCUAUUAUGUAAUCGACGGAAGAAAGAAAUAUAUUUCACAGAGCACUUGCUUUGUUUUUCCUUCAUAUAAUUGUUUUCUCGUUAGUUUUCUUACUAGCCAAACAAGCUCUGAGGAAGUUUCCUCAGAGAAUGAGUGGCUAGACUUUUAGUUCCUUGGAGUUAAGGUUGCCGGGAAAGGUUCCAAGUGCAAGAAUUAGUAGCUUUGUGGUUUCAGUCAUUAAUGAAGAGAAAGUGUGAUCCUUUAAUGAUUUAUAUGUUUUUAGUUAACUUAAAACACCUUCAAGUCACUUGAGCCAACACUUGGUAAGGCACGUGAUCUCCGUCCAUGGAGAUGCACUUGUUUAUCUCUUGCGAGCUUUUGGGAAGUGACUUGGAGGUAGGAUUUUCUAGAAUUGCCAACACUUAGUAAGCUUUUGGACUUCAAGGAGACAUCCAUUAGUUAUCUCUUGCGAGCUUGAGAAGGGAAGUCCAAAGUUAAAGAUCACCUUGAAUGGCAACUACUAGGUGAGAGGCACGAGCCAUUGCAAGUUGCAUCAGUGAGAGGGAAUUAGAGCUGAAAUCCAUUUAAAGGAUACAUCUGUACAACACCGAUUAGAGAAUUGACUAUAUGUUAAUUCUCUAAUGCGAGGAAAUGAACCAAAUGACCAAAGCUCUGUUUUUGCAUAAGGAACCUCCCCUGUGAACCUAAACCUCCGAGGAAUGUUUUUCUUCAUAAGUAAUUUCCAUUACUUUUUUUUUGGUUAGUUUAAGACCAAACCCUUUUCACUCAAACAUCUUUAUGUUUUCUUUUAAAGCUAACCUUGAAAUGAAAAAGCACCAACUCAGCUUUGAAUUGGUAUCAGUUGUGAGUUGAAAACCUUUCCCAAUGAACGAUCCUAGAGCCACUAUGCUAUAGUAGCUUUGUCUUUGCUACCCUAGUUCAUGGUGUAAUAGGUUAUAAAUUUUGUUGAUUACUACCUCAAUCAAGGAGCACCAGCUGGACAUGAAUCAGCUGAUACACCAAGUGGACACGAAUCAAAAAUUGAAUUCUAAAAAAUAAUUUUUAUUCUUAAAAAAAAAAAAAAAAAACAUGUUUGAUUGAGUUAAUAAAAAUAACUUUUAACAACAAAUAAAACAAAAAAACUUGUUUGGAAGUUGUUAUUGUUGAAUUUUUUUUAAGUUGGGUAUUUUCUUUAAUUAACUUGAUGUUAUAAAUCUAUAAAUAAUUUUUACAUUCACAUUUCAUUAAAAAUAAAAAAGUUCCAUUUUGAAAUUUUUUUUGCAUCAGUUUUAAUUUUUUUAAACAAAAUAUUACUUUAUAAUAUGUUUGAUUUCAAUAAUUAGUAAAUUAUCCAAUUAAAAUAUCAUAAAUUGGUAAAUAUCAAUGAUUGGAUUUUAUGAAGAUAAAAUUUAUGAUAUCAAACAAUAAUGCAUUAUACUUGGAAACUUAUGAUCUAUUUUUUCUAUUUUAAAUAUAAUUAAUAAUAUAAAAAGUUAACUGAAAAUGAUAUAUUUAUGAUAAUUUUUUAAAUAUUUAUAAUUUUAUUUAAAAUUAAAUUUUAUAUUUUAUAUUUAAUUAUUAUAUAAAAGAUAAAAAAUUCUUAAAGUAAAUCAAAUUAAUUUAUUUAUAAAAAUUUAUUAAUCUUUACUAUAUAUAUAACAUAUUGGGACGAAAACCAAGAUCAAUACCUUUUCAUUUCUUUCCCUCCUCUAUAUCUCCCUGUUCUCUUUUCAGUUCUUUGUCUCCUCUUGUUUCUCUUUCAAGAUCCAAACUUUUAUUCAGGUGAACUAUUUUUCUUUUCUAAAAUCAAAACAUUAUUCAUUAAGGCCAAAAUUCAGAUUUGUGGUUGUUGCAGAGAUUCCUGGUAAAGUUUCAUGUUUUUUUUUUUAAUUAUUCUUUUUUAUUUUUUGCAUUCUUAGUCUUUUUUGUGUUCUUGUUUAUGUUUUGUUUGGUUUUUGGGAAAUCCUAAAAUUUAUGGAGGUUUUGGCUUUGAGAUAUGAUAAAAUCCUAAAAUAUAAAAAAAGAAAAAAAAGAAAAAAGAAAAACCGAAUAAUGUUGAAUUUUUGUGAGACCGAUUUUCCCAUUUUCAUACCCAUUUUUUUUUUUUAAAUUUUCCCUCAUAGUGCAAAGAAUUUUGCCUUAGUGCAAAGAAGAGGCGAGAACGCACAAAGAACACACUAGAACACUCAUUGAAAACUUGAAAAGCAUUCUAAUUUUUUUAUUUUUUUGUUCUUAGAACAGUGGCAAAAACACAUAGAAUACCAAUAUUAAUAAUUUUGAUCUAAUAUUAAUAAUUAUAAUAAAUAAUAAGGGAAGUUAUGGUAUGAAAGAGUUUGCUUAUAGGAUAAUUGUUGGAUUUGUUAAAAAAUGGAAAUUUAAUAUUAUUUUCGCAAGCAAACUGGUUAAUGGAUUUUUACUUAUUUAUAAAUUUAUAAAUAUAAAAAUUGACGAUAGAAUAAUGACCAUUAUGGUGGAAAACAAACAAAUUAAAGAAAUAAAAAAGACAUAUAACUUAUUUUAUAUAAAAGGUAAUUCAUUUUUUUAUAAGGGUUUUCUACGUAGAAGAGUUUUAUUUAUAGGGAUAAUUUGGGUAGAAAAAGUUAAAUUUUAUAUGAAGAGUUUUAUUCAUUUUUUAAAUAGUCAUCAUGUUUCAUGAAAAGGCAUAGUUAAAUUUUUCACAUUUAUUAAUUUAUUUAAAUAUUUUUAGUUUUCUAUUUAGUUUGUCAUUGUAGGUAAUUUCUAUGUCAUUAAAGUAUGAUAGCCCUUUGGUUCUUUAGAAUAAUAUAAAAGAAAGUAUACCCACUAAAAGACUACGAUCCUCUUUUAAGUUCUCUAUAACUAGAUGUAAUUGAGAAUAGUGAGUUUUUCAUUAAUAACCACCAGUAUUUUCUAAUCGGAUUGGAAUUGUUCCCCCAAAGUGAAUGCAACCGAUUAGGAAUACGAUCAUAGAAUAGGAUACAAUAAUUUCUUAAUCCAUGAGGGUCAUUGUUUUCCCAAGAAGAAAUUUAGACCAUACCACCAGAAGUGGUGAAAUGAAAUGAAAAAAAAAGGGUUAGGUUUGUAGUAUAAGCCUACCAAAGUUGAACAAAAAAUCAUUGUUGAUGCAUGCUAGUCAUACGAUCAAGCAUUUCAUUGACUUUUACCAAAAUUAAAAGAAAAAAAAUUAGUAAAUAGAAGGUUAACAUAUCUAGAUUAUUAUAACUUUCUUUAGAAAUCCUAAUGAUAAAAUUUACUAAUUGAUUGGUGAUGGAAAAAAUGUUUAUUCUCAUGUAGGAUCUUUACUUUCUUAUGUUGUGUCUUUUUAUCUAAUAUAGUACACAUCAUAUUUGCUAAUAAAUGUUUAUGUUUUAUUUACAUAUAGUAUUGAUUGCUUAAUAAGUAUAUUCUAAGUUGUCUAUCUCAUUAAUUGUACAACAUGUAAUAAUUGAUGUCAUUACCAUAUCAAUUUAUGGAAACUUGAUUGAAAGCUCUUGAAGAGCUUAUAUUAUGUCACUAGUUGAUCAAUGUCAUUACUACAUAUAUGAAUUUAUAAAAAUCCGAUUAAAGGCUCUAGAUGAGCUCAUACUAUGUUACUAAUGGCACACGAAUCCAUAUGAAUGAUACUUGACAUUCUAUCAAAUCUAGAAGAAUUUGAGAUGACCAACUUGGUCCCCCAGGGUGAACAAUGAUGCAUCAACUCCUUGAAAUAUGAAAUGGGGAUUCAUUAAAGAACUAGAAGUUUCUUCAACUAGUGACUAGUAUAUUUGAACCUUUGAAGGAUAUUAUUACGUGUUAUGUAAAUUUCUAGUUUAAAGAGACAAUUUCCCACCAUUAGGGGGAGGCAAGUCAAUUCUAGAAGAAUGGCGAGACAUUACAUGGUCUGUACCCUCUUUGUCUCAUCUACAUCCCCAACAAGGUAGUUUGAACUAGAAGUUCAAAGGAUUAUUCAUUUGUAAGGACUUGCAAAUUAGUUACCUAAUGUUUUCACAAAUAUAAAAAAGUAACAAAGUCACACGUGUCGGCUGUGAAUACCCUGACACAUAUUGAUGUCCCAGAAGGACGAUUGAAAAAUGCCAUAGCAAGUGAAUCUAAUACACACUUAAAGCAUGGUAGACCUGUUGGAUCAAAUGAUUCAGUUCCUAAAAAAAAAAAAAAAAAAGGAACAACAUAUUAAAAGUUUGGUACUCUUGAAGAGCUUACAAAUAUGAAAGGGUCAAAUGAUGAAAACCAACUUGUUAAACAGUUAGCCCCUGAAGAGACACAAAUUGAUCAAAUACCGGUAUCUAGAAUUGAAGAGAUCUCAAUGAGUCACACGAGAGAAACAAGGAACCACAAUGACAUCAUCAUAGACAAUAUAUUUGCAUUCCGAGUAGCUAUAGAUCUCAUGAGAAAUGAUGAAGAUCAAAAACCACAAAUUGUGGGUGAAUGUCAAAAAAGGAAUGAAUGACCAAAAUGGAAAGAAACAAUCAAAAUAGAGCUAAACUCGUUAGCAAAACGAGAGGAAUUUGGACCUGUAGUUCAAACACCUAGAAACAUAAAGCUGAGAUCAAGUACUAGAUCUCAGCGCAAUCGGUGUAAAAUGUACCUUGUAAAUUGUACUAGACUAGGCAUAGCAUUUUCUGUUAACUUGCUUGCAAGAUACAGUUUUGCCCUAACUAGAAGGCAUUGGAACGAGAUUAAACAUAUAUUGCGAUACCUUUGUGGAACAAGUGAUCAUGGCUUAUAUUAUUCAAAAGAAUUAAAAUUGCAAUUGAUUGAGUAUGCUAAUGUAGGAUAUAUUUCAGAUCCCCAUAAAGCUCAAUCCCAAAUGGGAUAUGUCUUUACUUAUGGUAGUACAAAAAUAUAUUGAAGAUCAAUCAAGCAAACAAUGGUAGUCAUCUCUUCAAAUCAUUCAGAAAUUCUUGCAAUUCAUGAAGCAAGUCAUGAAUGUAUAUGACUAAGGUCAAUGAUUCAACAUAUUCAAGAAACAUGUGGACUACCUUCCAUAAGAGGCAAUACAACCAAAUUACAUGAAGAUAUUGUUGCUUGUAUUGUGCAAAUUAAAUGAGGAUUCAUAAAAGGUGACAAAACUAAGCAUAUCUCCCCUAAAUUCUUCUACACCCAAGAGCUCUAGGAGAAAGGUGAGAUUGAUGGUCAGGAGAUUCUGUCAUGUAAUAAUCUAGUAGAUCUAUUCACAAAGGCGUUACCUUCGACCAUUAUGAAAAGGUUAAGGUAUGAUAUUGAAUUGAAAAGAUUAAGAGAUCUACUAAUUGAAGAGUUGAAGAAAUCAUAAUCAUAUGUACAAAAGGGGUAGAAAGUUAAGAUGUAUAUAUUGCACUCUUUUUUCCUUUGUCCACGUUUUGUCCCACAGGGUUUUACUAGCAAGGUUUUUGAUGAGGUAGUUACCAUAUCCUUAUGAUCAUCCAAGGAGGAGUGUUUUAAAAUAUGAGAUUUUGUACCACUAUGGUAACUUGUGGAUGAUCAUCCAUAAAUAUUUUUUGUAACUCCCUAUAAAAUGGAGGAACCCUUAAUGAAAUUCUAUUGAGUUUUCCUGUGCAUUUUAUCAUCUUUUUCUGUUUUCUUCUUCCUCCACUUUUACAACAUUAUCUUAUACAUUAAUUUUAAUUAUUUUAUAUUUUUUAUACAUUUUCUUAUAAAUGAGAUUUAUUUUAUAAUUCAUAUAUUUGUUUUUUUAAUUUAAUUUAGGACUUUUAUUUAUUACUUCAAAUAAAUUUAUAAAAAUUAUGGUAAUUCUAAUCAUAAUAAUUUAAUGUUUGAAAAUUAAUAUAAGGAAUUCUCAAAAAUUAUUUUUAGUUUUUAAUAAUUAAUAAUGAUUAUCAAGAUUUAUGAAUUAUGUUUAUCGUAUUUGAUGAGACAUUUAAAUGAAAAUUCAAGAGUUAUAUAUAUAUAUAUAUAUAUAUAUAUGUUUAUUUCAUAAUCAAUUUUAGAUAUUUUUAAAAUUAAUUAAAAUAAUAUAUAAAGAUGUCAUAUGCAAUUUAUCUUUCCAAGUUCUUCUUCUUUCAUAUUGUUGUUUUUGAAAUCACUCUUUUAAUCUAAAAUAAAAAAUAUUAAAAUAUUAAAAUAAAUCAUCCAAAAAAAUCAUGUCAUUAAUUUGAUUUUUAAUUUAUUCUUACUCUUGUCAAUAAUAAAAAAAUUAAAUAAGAAUAAAAAUAAGUACUAAUAAAUAUUUUAAAAUAAAUUUAAAAUUUAUUUAUUUACAAAAUAAUAUGAAUUAUAGACAAAAUUAAUAUAAUGGAUAUACUACAAUUUUGAAUCCCUAAAAAAAAUCAAUCCUACAAAAUAAUGUUCAUUUGUUUAAUCGAAAUUGAAUGCUUCAUAAGAAUGAUGAAAGAAACGAGAGACACAAUGCUGGAGAAUGUUGAAGAAGGACAUGAAACACAAAUCUGUUAGAGUGAGGCACAACACUGAUGAAUGUUAAAGAAAGACACGAAACACAAAUGAUAAUGGAGCAAGUGUCAAGAUUACUCUUAGGGUUGUAGUAUCUACAAAAAUAAAAUAGCACCAAACAUCAAACUCUUUACUAACUUAUGUCAUUUUGUGAGUAAAUAGUAUCGUAGAAAGACAAAGAGAGAAAAAAAAUAAAAAUAAAAACUCAUAAUGGAAUCAAAUAAUAAGAAAGCAAGAGAAAGAAAAAUAAAUUUCACACCCUAUAGGUUGAGAACAUGGGUUCCAUGACCUUCGGGUUGAAAACAUGAGUCUUAUAAAUAAGAGAUAAAAUUAGAAGACAUUAAACAUGAAGUUGAAAGGAAAUUGAAUUCUUAGGGUUGACAUUGAAAAGACAUCAAAUAUAAAGGGAAAUAUGAAUUGAAAAGAUACCCACAUUUAUUGUCUUUUAACAUUUAUUGAUUUAGUGAGAGAAAAGAUUGAUUUUUUAAAUCUCAUACUUUCAUGGAGGUGUUUUUUUUUUCCACAACUAGUUGUAUUUUUUAAUAAAAUUUUAUAAAAGAAAUAGUUAUCUAUUUAAAGAAAUAAAAUAAUAUUCAAAAUCAUAAUUUAAAAAUACAAUUUUAUUAUAAAUUUAUAAAUUAUAGUGUCUACCCUCCAUUUUGUCCCCUAACACAUAUUUUCUCAUUUUAUUUUCUUUCACACCAUGCUUAUUUUUAGUAUGUGUUUAAGAUCCUUCUUCCUUGAUCAUUCAUUGUCCCUUAUUGGUUUACAUUUAUUUGAUUCAUUGUUUAUUUUUUAGCCACAUUUUGGAGGCCAUUUAGGGGGUAAUUUCGGGUCCUUCCAACUUGAGUUUUAGAGACCCCUUAAGCUUAGAUUUUUUUUUUUGUUUUGUUUAAUCUCAGUCUUAGGAGAGUUUCUAAGGUUUUUUUAGUUUUUAGAGAGGCCUAGUAGCUGGCUUAGGAUGAGGACAUGUGUUCUCAUCUUGACUGCUUCACUUUUAAAACACCCAUUUUUUUUUCCUUCUCUUUUUGCCAUAUUUGGGGGAGACCGUCUAGAAACCUCUCAGGAGAGGAGCUUUUCAACAUGUUUUCUUUUCUUUUUUUUCUUUUAUUUUAGGCGAGUUGCCAAGAUGAAGGAGGAGAGUGAGUUGUUAGUAGUGCUUUUCUGCAGGGGGGAAUAUUCUCUGCAUAAGGGUGGUUAUAAGAGAGAAAAAGACACUUUUUUUUUUUUUGUGAGCUUCAAGAGACGUUUUGAGCAUCAGAGGAUAUUGGGAUUAUCAUGAGGAUUUAGGGAGGUGGGAGUGAGAGUUUGAGGAGAAAGAAAACAAGAGGAAGGGAAUGAAACAAAAAAAAUGAGCUAAUGAAUUUUGUUUGUUUUUUUUUUUUUUUUUCUGGUUUUUAGGAGAGAACGCAACUAGCUUGAAGCCAAAUAGAUUUCUAUUUGAGAAAAUGAUCAUAACAUAAGGUUAAUAUGAGUUUCAGUUCUCUAUUUUCUCCAUUGUUUUAUUCUCCACUUUGUUGGUUCCUUUGCAUUGCCCGGUUUGAGUGUGGAUAUUAGGCUACACAUUUAGUUUCUUUUACUAAUCUUUAAAAUGAUUAUAGAUUUGUUGUUAUAUUGUUUAUCUACUAUUCCUCUUGGUAUUGCUAGAAGGUAAUCUCACUCUGUUUUAAUUCUACUAUGAAAGGUUUGAGAAUCAUGUCCACAUUCAUAUUUGACAUGGUCUCUCCUACCUACUUUGCAAGCUUACUGAUAAUGAAGUGAAACUUUAUUUAAGGGUCUAGUGGCUUGGUUUUUUUUAAUUUUUUUUUAAUUCUUUGUUUUUAUGGUUGUUUUCUUCUUGUUGUUUUCCUCUGUUCUUGUUGUUCAUCUUUGUCCUCUACUAGUGGUUUGUCUAGAGUUUUGUCCAGAGGUUUAGUUAUCAGUAGUCAUGAUUGAUAGAAGAAACAAAUAAGUUGUGUGAAGAAUGCAAUCACGAUUGAUAGGAGAAACAAAUAAGCUAUGUGAAGCAUGGGUUCCAUAAUCCCUUAUUUCUCCUCUUACAAAAGAAAUGCAUUGUCAACCUUCAGUAUUGGAAAGUGUCUUAGGGCCACAUACAAUAAUCAAUGGCAAACAUGAAAACCAAUUUCAUGGCUUUACGGGAUGGUUUUACCAUUAACUAAAAUGCUAGGGUGAUGGUCCUUGUGUUAGACAAGAUAUUUUAGAAGAACAAAAUUAGUUUUAGGUUAGUUUUAGAGUUAGCUGAAAAAUAGAAUUAAUUAGUCUUCAAAAAUUGCUUUGUAAACUCUCCUACAUCUCCUUUGUUCUACUCUGUUUUUGCUUUCACCACAUUUUAUCUCUCAUCCAAACUCCUUAACAUGGUAUCAAAGCCAUAAUAUCCAACUCAGUCACCCAUUAACAACUGAUGAAUCCUUCUUCACCAUUCUCCAACUCUUUUAACUAUACUUUGUCAAUAAAACUAGAUCAAGAAAGUACUUGAUCUAGAAAUCUCAAAUUACACGAAUAAUUCAAGUACAUGAUAUGCUUGGUUCAUUGAUGGAAUGAGUAAAUGUCCUCUAGAAUUCAUUAACGAAGAUCCAAGAGCCUUUGAUUCUUGCAUAGUCACUAACCAAGAUUAUGUGUUAUGUCAUUGACAAGAUCAAAUUUUGUUAAGUUGGUUAUUAUCAUCUAUUUCUGAAGAGGUGGUGGCCCAGGGGAUUAGUUGUUCCAUGUCUUUUGAAAUAUGGUUUAUGCUGGAAAAUUUUUUUGCUUCUUAGUUGAAGGCAAAAGUAUUACAAUUGUGUAUCCAACUCCAAUCAAUCAAGAAAAAUUCAUUGACAACGGUUGAAUAGUUUGCAAAGAUAAAAAGAGUUACUAAGAAUCUUGCAGUUGUUGGGCAACCAGUCUCCAAUGAUGAUAUGAUAAUGUACCUUCUUCCUGGGCUUGUACUAACUAUGAUCCAAUUUUAGUAAGUGUUACCUCCAAACUUGAUUCAUUUUCUCUUCAAAGAAUAUAGGUUAUACUACUCAAUCAAAAAACACGCUUAGAACAACUACAUUUAGAAAACUCACUUGAGUUUCAACAAACUGUUGUCAACAUUGCUUCACAUACUUCUUUCAAAGGUAAUGAUCCAAAAGUUUCAAUAGGUGGUCAUACCACCAUUCCUCAAAAUAUGAGAGGGUUUCAAAGGUGGUCAAAUCGAGGAGAUCGAGGCAAUAGAUACAACUUCUCACAACUAAUUUGUCAAGUUUGUGGCAAACUAAGUUGUAUCGCCCUCACAUGCUACUAUUGAUUUGAUCACAAUUACCAAUCUCAAAACUCUCAGAUUUUUAUCUUAAUUACUUCACUAGAAAUACUGGUUGAUCUUGCCUGGUACAUUGAUAAUGAGGCAAAAAAUCAUGUAACAGAUGAGCUAGGAUGUGUGCAAGCUUCUACUAAAUAUCUUGGAAAUAAGAAGUUGACUAUAGACAAUGGCCAAGGUUUGCCCAUUCAACAUAUUGGUCAUUUCUUUUUAUCUACUUCAGAUAAAACUAUUCUUCUUAAAAAUAUAUUGCAUGUUCCAAGCAUUAUUAAAAAUCUUUUAAGUAUCUCAAAAAUUGUUUGCAAUAAUGAUGUUGUUGGGAUUGAGCCCCUAAAAACAAAAAUAAUGUUAGAAAGCUACACCUAACUAUCUCCUUGUUAUCAUUUUGGUGUAUUGACAUUAAUUUGAGCAUUCAGCCCAUGUCUCUUACAUUGUACAUGACUUGGGUGCACUAGGAGUUGCAUAGAAGAUACAAGUCAUGGGUUCCUUAUAAGUAGAUAAGUUGUCCACAGUUAGUUCAUGGAUUUGGGCAAUCCAGUAGAAACUGUAGUGCACCACCUCCUGAUUGGAGGGAUGACUUUCCUAUGGUGAGUGCACUAGUGUAUGUGAUGCACAUUAGAUAAGACCUAAGAUGAAUCAUGAUGCAAGGUUAUCAAUUGUCAUGAUUCACAUAGCUAUUAUAAUAAAUGAACUUUCAACUUUGAGAGGAUAUUGAGUCUAUGUCAAAAUCAACAGGAGGCUUUGACCUAUGGGUGAGACCCUAAAAUGGUCAUAUAUCUCUAUGGAUUGGGUCACUAUUAAUGGAGGCUGGUGGCAACAAGUAUUCUUAAUAUAGGCACCAUCACAUCUCUUGGGAUUGAGACCGUGUAUCCUCUUGGGUGAUCCAAAGGACAUGUGAUCAUGAAAUUUGUGGUCAUAGUAAUUCCUUUAGCAGAAUUUGACAUAUGGUCCUUAGAGUUAGAGUUUGUUAGUUGAUUACUUAAUAAGUGGGAUUCGUAACUCAAGGAUUUGAGAGGUAAUCUUGAUAGGUGAUAUCACUACCUUGUUAGAUUAUGAACACCAGUUCAUGGGGAGUCUGGAUGUAUUAGAUAGUAAGUGACAAGCCUGAGCACUUAGUGUCUUAUUUUUAUUUACCUAGGAUACUAGAGUUUAGUUAAUUCUUUAUAGUGGGAUGUUGAAUCAACUUCAAAAUUGGAUUCUGAGGGAUCCAAUACUCUUAUGGGUCCCAUUGGUCCUCGCUCUAAGCUCAUAUAUCUUGUUGUCAUAGAUUAUGAGGGUCGGAUUGACUUUACAUUCACUUUUGUGCACAAGGGCUUUUUGAUAAUUAUAUAAGGUUGCACAAAGGUAAGUGAACAAGAUCUUGAGAUUGGGCUAAUUGAUUAAUUAGUAGGCCCUAUUGGGUUAAUUAAUCAAUUAUGACCCAUUUUGGGCUAGAUUAAGUGACCUAAACCCAUAUGAGCUCAAGUCACUUAAGCCCAAUUAGGAUCCCUAUAAUUACCCCUUAGGGAUUAGGGUUUUUAUAACUUUGGUCUUCCACUAUCUAAAGAGAAAGAGAGUCAUAGCCUCCACCCUCCUUUCCUCCUCCACCGGAAGUGUGCCAAGAACAAGGUUGAGUCAUCAAACGGAAGAUCAUGGGUUUACGAGACUUCCAACAACUUUAAGGUUGUCUUCAAUAUUUUAAAUUUAAGGCUUGGGAACAUCCAAACCUAAAGGUUAGUACUUUAAACCUAAAAGAUCAUUUUUUAAAAGAUUGGUAUUGCUUUGAUUCCUUACAUCUAAGAUGCCAAUGGAUGUGUUUUUUGAAUUUCAUGCCAUUCGGUGCUUACUCAAGGACAAAAUCAUGAGGAAAAUUCUACUUCAAGGGAGAAUCAAGAAUGGACUAUAUCAUCUUCAAGGACCUAACUUUAUUACUUCAAAAGAAGUUGAAAAAAAAAUUCAUAUGGAAUAAAUGGUACUACUCAAAUAAAGAGGAAAACAAACUCCCCUCUAGAUCAAUUGAAUUCAUCUUUCAACAAUCUAUUACAUAAUGACCCAAAUUGGUUUUCAAAUGUCAAUGUUCCUCAUAUAACUAUAUUGCAUUGAAUGUUCAAUAUGAAGACUUAAGUACUUGGCAUAAUAGAUUUGGGCAUCCUUCUCAUUGUGUUCUUCAUCAAAUACUCAAGAGAUGUAAUAAAUCACAUAUUAGUGAGAAAGCCGCUAGUAAAUUUUGCUUUGCUUGCCAAUAUAGAAAAUGUCAUGAAUUGAAUUUUCAUUCAUCACCUACAAAGACUAGUGAACCUUUAGAACUUAUUCACUCAAAUGUUUAGGGACCAUCACCUCUUCUCUUUACCGAAGGAUAUAAAUAUUAUGUUAGUUUCAUUGAUGAUUUCACCUAAUAUACGUGGAUUUUCCUCCUUAAAAACAGAUCUGCAAUACCUACUACAUUUCUACAGUCCAAGAAGUUUGUUGAGAAUCUACUUGAAGAAAAUAUCAAAGCUUGUAAAUAGAUAUGGGUGGUGAAUACAAACCAUUGACACAUUUCUCAAUGACAAUGGUAUAAUGUUGCAACAAUUGUGUCCUUCUAUGCAUCAACAAAAUGGUUGUGCGGAAUGAACACACAGGAAUAUUGUUGAACUCGACUUAACAUUGUUGUCCCAAGCCUUCAUGCCACUUAGUUUUUGGUGGGAUGCUUUCAACAUUGUAGUUUACUUAAUCAAUAGGUUACCUACAUUGAUAUUGAAUAAUCAAUCUCCCAUGAGAAAAUUAUUCCAUCAAGAACCUAAUUACUUUUUUCUCUACUACUUUAGAUGUGCCUGUUUUCCACACAUCAGACCAUAUAAUAAAAACAAGUUUGAUUUUCAUAUACUCAAAUGCUUGUUUGUGGGUUAUAGUAAUCUACACAAAGGAUACAAGUGCUAAGUCCCUCCAAGAAAAUUUAUAUAACACACAAUGUGGUAUUUGAUGAACAAACAUUUCAUUUUUUCAUGGGAUUUUCAAUUAUCCUGACUUUUGGAUCUUAUAAAAAAUCUAUGAGUACAACCCAAACGCCAAAUCUUACUGUGAUAUUACCUCAGCUCAACAAACCAAGACCAUCUAUUGUUCAAAAAAGCAGCCUAAAUAUUGAAAAAAAUUCUACAACUACUACUUGCAAAAAUCAGUUUACAUCUUGCACUACCAAUGGAAACUCAAGUGAACCAACUCAGACUCUUACAUUUGACGCUUAAAAAAAUUAGUCUACAUUUCAUCCAAUUCCUCAUUGUGACUUGUAUACAGAUUUGUCUAUUCCUACCUUGAAUACACAUCCAGUGACUACAAAAUCAAAGGUAGGAAUAUUCAAACCAAAGCUAUUCACAGUUGAAAGCACAACAAAACAACUUGAAAGUGAACCCAAUAGUGUUACAAAAGCAUUGCAAUCUAACAAGUGGAAAAAAGUUAUGGAACCAAAGAUUCAGGCAUUAAAUCAAAAUCAAACAUGCUACCUAAUAUCUUGUCUUCCACACUAUAAUGUCUUUGGCUACAAAUGGGUGUAUAAAUUAAAAUAUAACCCAAAUAGAUCAAUUCAACAACUCAAGGCAUGACUUGUGCCAAAGGGAUUUCAUCAAACACUAGGAGUUGAUUUUUCAAAAACAUUCACCCUUGUCAUAAAGCCAAUUACUGUAUGCAUCAUCUUAGCUAUAGUAGUUACAAUGGAUUGGAAGAUUCAACUUUAUGUUAAUAAUGUGUUUUUAAACGGAAGCUGCAAGAAAUUGUUUUCAUGUCUCAACUUGAAGGUUUUAUAAUUCCUAAGAAGCCCGAAUAUGUAUGCAAACUACAUAAAGCAUUGUACGAACUUAAACAAGCACCACAUGCUUGGUUUGAAAAAUUACGAAGUACUCUCUUCAAUUGGGGUUUUAAAGAGUUAGAGGCUGACACAUCAUUGUUUAUAUAUCGUGAAGUUUGCAACUCUAUUUUUUUUUUACUUGUGUAUGUGGAUGAUAUUCUCAUUAUUGGGAAUAACUCCCAACUUAGUCGUAAGACUUAUUCAUGACCUCAACUUCUAAUUUUCACUCGAGGACUUAGGGGAUUUUACAUGGGAUUCUAUAGGACCUUAUCUAACUCAAUCCAAAUAUAUCCUUGACUUGUUAAAAUGAACUAACAUGAAAUAAGUUAAAAGUUGCCCUACACCAACAAGUAUGGGACUACAACUAUCCAAUUCGAAAGAACAUAAAUUGAAUAAUGAGAAGUUGUAUCGCAACACUAUUGAAGCAUCACAAUAUCUCACUAUCACUAAGUGAUAAAUAUCUUACAUUGUAAACAAUUUGAGUAAGAUUUUACAUUGUCUUAUUGGUAUGCAUUGGAAAGCUUGUAAACAGGUUUAGAGAUACUUGCGUGGGAGUAUUAAUCAUGAUUUGCAUAUUCAAACUAUUAAGAUUGAGUACCUAAAAGCAAGACAUGAUGUAAAAAAGUUAAGCUUGACUAUUCCCUUGCUAUCCUUAUGGUGUAUUGACAUUGAUUUGAACAUUUAGUUUAUAACUCUUACAUUGUACAUGACUUGGGUGCAGAAGGAGUUGCAUAAAAGAUACAAGUCAUGGGUUCCUUAUAAGUAGAUAAUUUGUUUAUAAUUGGUUCAUGGAUUUGGGUAAUCCAGUAGAGACUAUAGUGCAUCACAUCCUAAGUAGCUAGUGGCUUUGAAAAGCCACUACUUUUAGGUUAUUAUGAUGGUGGUUGCGGACUUGCAGAUUUAGGCCUUGUGUUAUUGGAGGAUGCCCAUUGCAAGAAAGGCAAGUCACAUUGUUUUGGGACUUUAGUGGCCCAAUGAAGAUGGUUAAAGACUCCAACCCCUUGAUCCAUGACUUUUAUGGAUUGGGCCAGACUCAUUUCACUAAUCCAAGGGGUUUAAAUUGCAGAUUAAGGGAUGUGGGUUGAGCCUAACUGGUAGUGAGGGCUUUGUUAGCCUUGUACCCUUGGAGAGAGAUCAAUCUGAAGGUUGUGAGAAGGGAUUUUGGUUAAACAUUCUGGCAUCCCAAGAGAGGAGAGUCUGUCACAACAUUGCAUAGGCAGGAACCUCUAGAUGCUAUGGAUCAAGAGCUAGCUGUCUUUAGUUGAUCUUGAUGGCCUGAGGAUGGUUUGUGACGAACUAGCUCUCUCUGUGCUUGUUCGCUCCUCUUAGAGCCUAGAGGAGGGAGCACCAUUUGUAGAUGCCACCCUCUUGUUUGGAGUAGAAGGUUUUGCAGGUAAGUUAUCAUCUCCAGUUUGUUGGAUGGGGGAUGGGUCUUCUUCUGCAUCUUCUAUUUCCAAAGAUGAGGGUCCAGCCAAAAGCUUGGUUUUGUGGAGGGAGCAGGACAAGGGGCGGCUUGUAGUAGAAUGCAAGGGUGAUGGUUAUGGGAUGUUAUGUAUGACUUCCAGCAAGGGUUUGGUUGUGGACUUUCCAAAGAAUCACCUUAGAGAUGCCUAGAGUGUGAACCUAGAUUUGGGGAGUGAGGAGGUGGUGGCUUUGGAGAAUGGGGGCUCUAGGAGGGACUCGAUGGGAGAUGAGAGCCUCUACGAUUUGUCUUUUGGGAAAUUCGUCUCCUUUAGCAAGUUUUUUGAUUUGCUAGUGGAAGGUUAUGAGAAGGAAAUUGUGUCCUUAUUGAGAAAGUCGGAAGCUAAAAAGGGUUAUAGAGUAGUGGCUUUGAGUAUAAAAAGGAGGCCUUCCUCUAUGUCCGACUUUGAUAGGGAACUUUGCAAAUUGGAGUGCUUGGUCAAUUACAACAAAUCAAGUGGAAAAGGGGGGAGCCAGAAGUGGGGGUGGGAUAUGGUUUGUGAGUGAUCAUGAAGUUCGAGAUUUUUCUUAAUUCCUAAUUCAAUAUAUUACAUUGUUGUUUCUUAAAAAAAGAAAAAAAGAAAGAAAAGUUUUGAGAUUUUUUGAUCGUCAUUAGUAGGUUUAGAGGCUGGGUGUUUGGCUCUCCUUAGAAAUUGGAAGGAUAUGAGAAAAGGAGAGGGGCCAGAAUUGUAUCACUCAAUCUCAAGGUAAGGGAUUUAGAAAGGUGGGCUGGAAUUGUAAUUUCUAAGGGAGCAGAGGGUAGUCAUUUCAGGCAGUGGCAAGGGAGAGUGGAAUUAUUAACAAUGGGUAGAUGAAGUUUGAAUUUAUCCAAGGAUUCAGUAGGAUUGCAGAAAGUGGAUUUGGUUUGCAAACAUGAAAGGUCGUAUAGGUCUUUAUGUCUUUCUAGGCCUUUAGGGUGAUGUUUUUGUAUCAGGUUACGGUUUGUUGUUUCUAUUUUCCUUUUGCUUGCCUUCUGGCACUGUUUGUAUUCUCUGUGUAGUUUGUGCAACUUUACAAAGUGUUUUUAAUAUCUUAUCAGUUUACCUAAAAAAGAAAAGAAAGAGAGAGAGAGAGAAAGAGAGAGAGAUAUGGAUGGGAGGAAAGAAAAUAUAUCAAUCAGGAAGGCCAAAUUAUACUACUAUGCACCUCUUAUGACUGAUUGAUGGGUUUGUGCAAAUUAUAGGAACAAUACCAACAGUAUUGUCCUUUUGACUUGAGCCUCCAAAUUGCUUGGUUAUCUGAAGAUAGUUUUCAUUGAUGAAUACCUCUUGACCUUAUGAUCCAGAUUUUGGCAUAUGAAGUUAAGCAAGCUAUAACUAAAUUGACUUAUACUGUGAAUUUCUUGGAUUUUGAUAAAAGAGUGAAACCUAAAACUGUUAAUUCAGAUCAGUUUUGAAUGAACAUAAAAUGGUGCCUCUACUGUAAUGCCUGAAAUAUUUGAAAUCCAUUCAAUAGCUUCCCAAUGCUCUUCUUUUCAUAAAGUUAUUGAUGGCUCCCAUUGCUUGAGCUUUUUACCCAAUCUUGUAUGCACCAUGACAUACAUGAAAUUAGAAUUGCAAUUUGAGCCGGUUGAACCCAAUCCAACCUGAAAAUGCAAUUUCUGAUUAAGAAAUCUCUAUCAGACUUGAACCCUAUCCGUAUUUAACUAAUUCUAAGUUGAACAUUUGUCUAAUAAGGUGCCUGUGUCGAAACAAUUUUGUAGGAGAAAAUGGGUGAUCGCUUACCACGAAUGCUUGAGUGCAUUGUUUGAGGACAAUUAUUGUUACUGAGUUGUGUGCAAGCUGCCAUUAUAUUUUAGUCAGCAAUUGUUAUAAGAUGAAUGAUCAUGUUUUGUAUCUAUGGAAAUAAAGAAGAAAGAUCGUGAAAUAAGGAAGAAUUUUGUGAUGCAUCCGUUGGAUUUUGAUUAACAUAUUCUUAAUUUACAUGACACAAAUUAACACAUGCUUGGUUUAAAAGCUCACAUGGGAUAAGGUAUCUAUGGAAAUGGAGAAGAAGAUAACGAUAGAAUUUUGUGAUGCAUCUGUAAGCAGUGACAUUUCAUGGAUCGAUUUUGAUUAACACAUGUUUGAUUUAAAAGCAACGAGUGUUUUUCAAAAUAUUUUCUCAAAAAUACAUGGAUUUCAACAAAAAGGUAAAUAAUUUAACUCAAGAAAAAGUGAAAGUGAAAAUGAGGGACAUGAAGGCAAAAAAGAAUCAUUGAUUAAUAAUAUAUUUUAUUUAAUUUUAUAACCUUUUACAACUUGUUUUUAUGACGUAUAAUUAAUAUUUUAUAGCAUGCUCUUGUUUGUAUGUCUUAAACUCAACCUACUCAAAUCUUAAGCCUUCACCCCAAACCAAAAACCACAUUUCAUCUUCCUUCUUGUUACAUUUUUGUAAAAGUAUGUAGGCUGAAAAUUUCAUUUGAGGCAUACCAAGCAGAUAUUUCAAGCAUGAUGCUUUGAACAUUAAUUCUAUUUGUACCUCAUUUAACUACUUUAUACUUUCAACUGCUAUGGGCUUAGAUAAGUAUGCAACCUUUCAUUAAUUUUAUGACUGAACCAGGAACAAUGGUUAGGAGGGCUAUGGUUCAAUAUGCACUAAAAAAUUCAAAUAUAUAUUUUUUUAAAAUUUUACUAACAAAUUCCAAAGAAUAUUUCAAAAGAAUUAAAAAUUAGCACGAAAUCUGAGUAAGGAAAUUUUCAAUAAUUUAGUAGUUUUUGCAGUUAAAAAAUCACAAAAAGUAAAGACUUCAAUAAUUUCUCUAAUAAAUUUUGGAUUUUUUAAAAUAAUUAAUCAUAAAAUUAAUUAAAAAUGAUGAGAUUUUUUACUUAAAAAAUAUCCAUUAUAUAGUAACAUGAGGAUCACAUGAUUACUAAAACUAUAACUCUAAAGCUAGAUAUAAACUUCCUUAAUUUGAAUAAUUAAAUAGUAUAAUAUAACAUAAUUAUAUAGUUUGGUUAUAAAUAAGUUAUUAUUUAAUUAAAUCUCAAAUUCAAUGUGAUUAAAACACAUAUUUAAAAAAUGUUUAAUAAAAUUUUAAAUAAAAAAUUGAAAAUUGGAAAAAUUUAAUUUGAUUAGAAAAAUUAUAAUGAAAUGAAAAUUUUUACAUACACAAAAAGAAUGAAAAAUAAAUUAAGAUAAUAUAUGUAUGAAGAAAAAAAAAUGAUGAAGCUAAAAUAAAAAAGGAAAAAAAAAACUAGGAGUUUCAAGUAGGCUUUAUAAAAUAUUAUAUAUAUUUUAAAAUUUAUUUAAAAUUUUUAAAAAUUAAAUCCUUGAGAGUUAGUAUUAACUUUUUUUUUCCAAUAACAUUCAAAUGAAAUUAUUUUUUAUUUUUGAAAUUAAAAAUUAAAUUCAUAUUUUUUUCACUACUACCUCCGGGUUAUGUACGCCGUUUUAGUCAAGAUCUUCAUUGCAACCUCUUCAAAUUGAUAAAUGGUAGUUUUUUCAUUCAUACUUUCAUUCGUUCAUGUACAGAGUAUAUAUAGAGGGUAAUCGCCAUUCUAAAAAUGAGAAAGAAUGAUACAAGGAAAUAAUGAUAUAAGGAAAUAACAACUAAUAUCCUAACAUCUCAACUUUCCUAAUAUCUCAACGUUCCUAAUAUCUCAACUUUCCUAAUAUCUAAACAUUCCUAAUAUCUCAACACUGAAUGAUAUAAGGAAAUAAUGAUAUAAGAAAAGCAUUCCUAAUAUCUCAACACUCCCCCUCAAGUUGGUGCAUAGAUGUCACAUAUGCCUAACUUGUCUAAAAAAUUUGAGAACACUUGACUUGAGACAGAUUUGGUGAGAAUAUCGGCCAAUUGAUCUUUUGAUCGAAUCUUAGGCAAUUCCACAAUCUUAUCAUCCAACUUUUCCUUAAUGAAGAAUCUAUCCACCUCGACAUGCUUUGUAUGAUCAUGUUGUACUGGAUUAUGAGCAAUGUCACAUGCGGCUUUAUUGUCACAAAACAAUCGGAUUGGUUGCCUAGAUAGGUAACCUAAAUCCUGUAAGAGGAGUCUUAGCCAUAAUGCCUCACAAAGUCUUAGAGCCAUACCUCUAAAUUCCACUUCUGCACUUGAAUGAGCAACGACAUUUUGCUUCUUACUUUUCCAUGUCACAAGAUUACCACCUACAAAGGUAAAGUAACCAGAUGUAGAUCGCCUAUCAUCCACUGCACCGGCCCAAUCAGCAUUAGUAUAUACUUCUAUACUCUGAUGAUCAACAUUUUUAGGGAACAAAAUUCCCUUCCCAGGAGCAUUUUUCAAAUACCUCAAAAUACGCAUGACUGCAUUCAUAUGUUGCUCUCUAGGAUUAUGCAUGUAUUGACUCACUACACUCAAUGCAUAAGCAAGAUCUGGUCUUGUAUGAGCUAAGUAUAUUAAUCUCCCCACAAGUCUCUGGUAUCUUGUUGUAAACCCCCUCUUUUCAAACCAAAUGUAAUGGUUUGUUAUCAUUAUUUUAUCAUUAUUGUUGCUAUAAUUUGAAAUAAAUGGCACUCCAUAACCACCCGGGAGAGUGGAGUUUAUCCAUUUUUUUUGAAGUGGGGGGGACCUCCUUAUGCAUGAAAGUAGCCGCAUGGGACGUGUGGCAAAGAGGUAUGGCCGGCCAUGGUAGUAGUUGAGGAGGACAUGCUGGCUGAUCGGGGAAUAGGAGAACUGGUAAUGGCUUGCCGCGGAAGAUAGAAACAGGGGGUUGGAUAUAGAGUGACAGAGCAAGGCUUGAACGAGGAGGGAGCUAGAUAUCUGGGGGGAGGCUCGCUGGUGAGGACAGGAAGUAAAGGAUGGGAGCAAGCAGAAAGGAAUCAGAAGAUCCGUUCAACUUGAUUCUCUUGGUCCAGGUAUGGUCUUAGUCUAUUUUGUUUCCCCCGUUUUGAACUGCUCUCCCCUAUUUCUAGUCACGUGUGGAUUCCUUUGACAUUUGAAGACCACUUGUGCAUUUUGUUUUCUGUUUUGGAAUGCUCUGAGUUUGGAUUCAUCAUAGCACCUGAUUUUUGGAGAUCAUGCCCAUGUUUUCUUUUGGUUCCACCUAAACCCCUCCCAUUGACAUCUAUGGAACGGGGUGAGACUUAGAAGUUUAUAUAUAUAUAUAUAUAUAUAUAUAUAUAUAUAUAUAUAUAUAUAUAUGCACAUGCUCUGUUUUCUUCUCAUAUUUGUCUGUCAAGUUUUUUUGAAAUGCUAGGUGCCGCACUUCAUACUAGACAUCUGGGUCAAGGCGCUCAAUGAAAUUGUCACAUCCCUUUUCUCUGAGGAAAGUCCCAAUGAGGUCUUGAAGUCCUUUGAUUCUUUAUAGCCUUUGUUAAUGGAAAAUGUAUUUUCAGAGAGUUUUAGCGCCUCUCUGAAAAUGUAUUAGUUGAAAUAGAAAAAUAAUGUUUCAAAAAAUAUAUAGGCAAAAUAUUUCAACAUAAGCUAAUGGUACAUUACCUUAUAUUAUUUUUUGGGGUUUUUUUUUUUGCUCAUUUUUCUCUCAAUGUUUAUAAAUUUGCAUUGAAGAAAUAAGUUUUAUUAUUUUUAAAUUCAAUUUAGAAAAUGGUAAUAUUGUGAAAGUUACAUUCAUUUAUAAUGAUACCAACAUAUACUUACCUCAAUAAUAUAAAAUUAUUCUCUUUGAUGUUUCUUUUUCCAUAAAUGAGUUGGAAAUAAGAUAAGUUUUGUUUAUAAAAUUUCAAUUUAAUUAUUUUGGGCAAAAGCAUAUAAUAUAUUGAACAUACCUGUUAAGAAAGUUGACAUCCUAUGGUCUUUUUGAUGAGUUUGUUUAAUAAGUUUCACCUAACUGAGAAUAGUAUAAAGAUAAAUUUAUGUGUAAUUCUAUUAAUAUUGUUAUAUUAUCAAUAAAAAGAUACGUACCUGUGGACCUCACAUUUCGGGUCAUGCAUUUUCCACUUGAUGGUGAGCUCGAUUUUUAUUUGAAAAUGAUUUUAUUAUUAAAAAAAAAUGACUUGAAGUCGCCACUUAUUUUUGUUUUAGUUUUAAAAAGGUAAACAAAAUAAGAAAGAAAACCCUAAGUGUGAUUCCUUAUUUUGGAAAAGGUGGUCUAUGAAAAACCGGAUCAGGCUCGGGAGUCGGGUUACUUAUCGGGAAGGUACAGUAAAGACCGUAGCACCCCUCUAAGUCCCUAAAGUCAGGUCUCUACUAAUAAAAUGAAGUUGACGUGGCAAUCAAUAGGAAAAUUACUCAAAUCAGUCAUGCACAUAUAGGAAUCAAAACAUGUAUAGAGAAUGACUAGAAUGGGAGUGGAUGGGUACCUGGGCCACGAACGAGCAAUGCGCUAUCAUAAAAAUGGGGUCAGUGUAUAAUAAAGAGCACAAAACAUAUCACAUGCAUCACCAAACAGAAAUUAAAACUGCUCGAGGGAAAAUUGGAUUUUUUAAAUUUAUUUGAAAAUUGGAGUCUUAGAGAUUAUUUGAAAAUUAGAGUUUUGGAGAUUAUUUGAAAACUGGAUUUUUAGAAAUUAAAUGUAGGAAUGAGAAUUUUAGAAAUUAAAUUUGAAAGAAAUUAGAAUUUUGAAAAUUAUUUGAGAGUUUGGGAUUUUUAAAAAAUUAAAUUACAAAAUUGGGGCUUUUGGAAAUUAAAUUUUGAAAGAAAUCAGGAAAAUCAAUGGAUACUCAAAUCGGUCAUGCACAUAUGGGAAUCAAAACAUGUAUAGAGAAUGACUAGAAUGGGAGUGGAUGGGUACCUGGGCCACGAACGAGCAAUGCGCUAUCAUAAAAAUGGGGUCAGUGUAUAAUAAAGAGCACAAAACAUAUCACAUGCAUCACCAAACAGAAAUUAAAACUGCUCGAGGGAAAAUUGGAUUUUUUAAAUUUAUUUGAAAAUUGGAGUCUUAGAGAUUAUUUGAAAAUUGGAGUUUUGGAGAUUAUUUGAAAAUUGGAUUUUUAGAAAUUAAAUGUAGGAAUGAGAAUUUUAGAAAUUAAAUUUGAAAGAAAUCAGAAUUUUGAAAAUUAUUUCAGAGUUUGGGAUUUUUAAAAAAUUAAAUUACAAAAUUGGGGCUUUUGGAAAUUAAAUUUUGAAAGAAAUCAGGAAAAUCAAUGGAUACUCAAAUCGGUCAUGCACAUAUGGGAAUCAAAACAUGUAUAGAGAAUGACUAGAAUGGGAGUGGAUGGGUACCUAGGCCACGAACGAGUAAUGCGCUAUCAUAAAAAUGAGGUCAGUGUACAAUAAAGAGCACAAAACAUAUCACAUGCAUCAUCAAACAGAAAUUAAAACUGCUCGAGGGAAAAUUGGAUUUUUGAAAUUUAUUUGAAAAUUGGAGUUUUGGAGAUUAUUUGAAAAUUGGAUUUUUAGAAAUUAAAUGUAGGAAUGAGAAUUUUAGAAAUUAAAUUUGAAAGAAAUCGGAAAUUUGAAAAUUAUUUGAGAGUUUGGGAUUUUUUAAAAAUUAAAUUAUGAAAUUGGGGAUUUUGGAAAUUAAAUUUUGAAAGAAAUCAGAAUUGAAAAUUAUUUUAGAAGUAGAAACUAUGAAAAUUGAAUUAUAAAAAUUGGAAAUCUUGGAAAUCGUUCGAAGGCAAAAUUUUUAGAAGUAUAUGAAUAAAAUGAUAAUAAUAAUGAUAAUAAUAAGUAAGUAACGAAAUGAAUGCGAGAAUUAGAAUAUUGGAAAUUGAAAAUUAAGUUCGAAAAUUGGAAAAUUGGAAUUUCAGAAAACUAAAUUUGGAAAUCGGAAUUUUGAAGAAUUAUUUAAGAACAUAAUUUUAAAUAAAUGAAUAAGUGAAUAAAUAAAUGAAUAAAAUAAUAAUAAUGACGAAAUAAUAAUGAUUGGAUGAAUAAUUGCGGAAGUUAGGAUUUCGGAAAUUGGAAAUUGAACUUAGGGAUUGGAAAUUUUAAAAAUUAUUUAGGGAUGAAAUUUUAAAUAUAUGAAUAAGUGAAUAAAUAAAUAAAUGGGAUAAUAAUAACGAAAAUAAUCAUUAAACAACAAAAUGUGAAUAGUGGAAUUUUUUAGAUUAGAAAUUAAAUUUGGAAAACGGAAUUUUGAAAAAUUGAACUUUAAUGAUUGGAAUUUUUAAAAGAAAUAAAUAAAUAAAUAAAUUGAAUAAUAAUAAUAACAACGAAAAAAAUAUUUAAACGAAUGAAUGUGAAUAGUGAAAUUUUUGAAAUUUGAAAAAUUGUUUAAAGAGAGAAUUUUUAGAAUAAAUAAACAAAUAAAUAAAUGGAAUAAUAGUAAUAACGAGAAUAAUAAUUGUGAAAAUUGGAAAGUGAAUUUAGAAAUUGGAAAAUUGAAGAAUUAUUUAGAGGUGGAAUGUCAGAAAAUUAAAUUUCGAAAGUUGGAAACCCGAAAAAUUAUUUUAAGGCUGGAAUGUCGGAAAAUUAAAUUUUGAAAACUGGAAACCCAAAAAAAUUUAUUUUAAGAAUGAAAUGUCAGAAAAUUAAAUCUUGAAAAUUUUGUUUUGAUAUCAAAAUGUGAAGAAAUAAUAAAAAGAAAUAUGAAUUGUGGUGAUCUUCACGUGCACGUCUCCGGUAUAAUGGCCAUAAACCCAUUUUAUAUAUUCUUUUCCACCACCUUAGCAAACAGCUUUUGCAUGAAGAUUGAUGAGUGGGUGUGGAGGUUGGUAUGGCAAUGCAUGCGUGAGGCUUUUAAGGAUGGAAUUAAAUUUCAAAAACUGGAAACCCAAAUUAAAUUUUGAAAGCUGAAAACUCGAAAAAUUAUUUUAAGGACGGAAUGUCAGAAAUAUAAAUUUCAAAAACUAAAAAUUCGAAAAAUUAAUUUAAGGAUGGAAUGUCGAAAAAUUAAAUUUCGAAAACCGGAAACCCGAAAAAUUAUUUUGAGGAUGGAAUGUCGAAAUAUUAAAUUUCGAAAACUGGAAACCCGAAAAAUUAAUUUAAGGAUGGAAUGUCGGAAAUAUAAAUUUCGAAAAUUGGAAGCCCGAAAAAUUAAUUUAAGGAUGGAAUGUCGAAAAAUUAAAUUUCGAAAACUGGAAACCCGAAAAAUUAUUUUAAGGAUAGAAUAUCAGAAAAUUAAAUUUCAAACGCUGGAAACCCGAAAAAAAUUAUUCUAAGGAUGGAAUGUCAGAAAUAUAAAUUUCGAAAACUAGAAACCCGAAAAAUUAUUUUAAGGACGGAAUGUUGGAAAAUUAAAUUUCGAAAACUGGAAACAUGAAAAUUUAUUUUGAGAAUGGAAUGUCAGAAAAUUGAAUCUUGAAAAUUUUGUUUUGAUAUCAAAAUGUGAAGAAAUAAUAAAAAGAAAUAUGGAUUGUGAUGAUCUUCAAGUGCACGUCUCCAGUGUAAUGCCCAUAAACCCAUUUUAUAUAUUCUUUUCCAUCACUUGAGCAAACAGCUUUUGCAUGAAGAUUGCUGAGUGGGUAUUGAAAAAUGAUGACAUGGGCAAAGUAAUGGAGUCAGCCACUAGCAGGAAAUAAAUAAAAAAUAAAAAUCCUACAGACCCAUUUAAUUCGACAUCAAACCAGAAAGCAAAACCAUGCAGUAGAGCUCGCAUCAACUGGAUCACUCUUUCUUAUCAAACUUCUUAUCAAAUAAAAAUCCUCUUUGGAAUUCCCAUUACCUCAGAAGGAAACAAAAUUCUAGAUGAGUUGUGGCCCUAGCAGUAACCAUAUUUAGCUAAAAAAAAAACCCAGAGACAGUCCUUUGGUCUUGGUCCAGAUGAUAUCUUCAAUUCCAAGAAACAAAACUCCCUCGGUUGGUCUGGAUUCCCUUACAAGAACUUGGGAAACAUUCCGACAACAUGGAGAUGACAGUUUGAUAAGGGAUAAUCAAAUUCUCCAUGAUACGUGCUUCCUUCCUUUUCUGUUAGCAUAAUAUCCGCUUGUAUAGCUAUAGGGAUAUGCUCAAUAUUUGUGUUUGAUUCUUUCCUAUUAUGUAGGAGUUUACAACUGUAAUUAUCGUGUAUAUAUUAUGAAGAGUUAUCUCCUCAUCUGGCAAGGAGGAUUUCAGUCAUUUACCGUGUUUAUCAAACAUCUUUAUGGUAUCAGUUUCAAGUUUUCUUUUUUCCGAUUCUGACCAUGGCUAUUUCGUCUUCUUCACCUCCUACUCUUCCGCUCAAUACAAUGGUGCAUAUGCUCACCAUUAAACUGACCUACUCCAAUUAUCUAUUGUGGAGAAAUCAGUUCGUUCCUCUGUUAGCUAAUCAAGAGCUUUUUGGUUAUUUGGACGGUAGCAUCACGACUCCUUCUCCCAUGAUUACUGCCUCUGAUGGCACCACAAAAUCCAAUCCUGCAUAUACCUCUUGGCUGCAUACCAAUCAGACACUGCUCAGUUUACUCUAUUCUUCUCUCAUAGAGGAAUCUAUGAGUGAGGUCUUGGGUUUCUGUCACUCCCACGAGGCCUGGCAUGCGCUUGAAGUCUCAUUUUCGCACCGAUCAAAGACUCGCGAACUGCAACUCAAGGAUGAACUCCAGCUGACGCACCAUGGCUCUCAGUCCAUUGCUAAGUUUUCUCGCACCUUCAAAGGCCUUUACGAUCAACUGGCUGCUAUUGGACGUCCCAUUGACGACACGGAUAAAGUUCACUGGUACCUACGCGCAUUGGGACCCGACUACAAGAUCUUUUCUACCACCAUGAUGUCACAACUCCCUCUACCAUCCUUUGCUGAAAUUGUUUCGAAAGCUUUGAGCCAUGAAAUCUUUGAACGGUCAGUUUCCCAUUCAUCUUCCAACUCUGCUUAUUUUGUGCAGCAAACUUCCAAAGUGGCUGGUCAUAAGCAAGUGAAGCAUCAGUCUUCAGCUUCUCCUACACCAUUUGCCAACUCAAAGUCAUCAUCCAACUCCUUCGUCCACUGUCAGUUGUGCGACAAAGAGGGCCACUCGGCUAAACGUUGCUGGAAUUUCCUGAAACUCAAGAAGAAGCAAUCGGCUAACCUUGCUGAGGCUUUUUCUGCCUGCUCGAUUCAGGAUUUUAAUGACUCUGAAUGGUUCCCUGACUCUGGUGCAGCGUCCCACAUGACUAGUGACACCAAAGGUGUGGAUCAACCGGCUGUCUAUUCUGGUAAUGAACGUGUCAUGGUUGGUAAUGGUCAGUCCUUAGCAAUCUCUCACACUGGUUCCAUUUCAUCUCUUGUUCCGUCUAGUCCUCUUCUUUUAUCUAAUGUCUUAGUUGUUCCUGGAAUUAAGAAAAAUCUUAUUUCUAUUAGUCAACUUACUAAAGACAAUAAUUGUUGUGUUACCUUUUCUUCCUCUGGUUUUACCAUACAGGAUCGGGUCACAAGAGUGGUACUGGGAGUCAGAAGAUGUGAAAAUGGUCUCUACGUGCUGGAUCGUCGUCAUCAUGCCUUAGUGUCCACUACUUCUUCACCGCGAGCAUCUAUUCGUUUAUGGCAUACUCGCCUUGGUCAUCCACAUUAUCGUACUGUUGCUUCUCUUUCUAAAUUAGGAUCUAUUUCUUGUAGUAAUAAAUUGGUGAACAAUGAUUCUGAAAUUUGUGUUGGUUGUAGACUCGACAAAAGCCAACGUUUACCUUUUUCUUUAAAUAAUGAACGUUGUGCUAUGCCUUUUGAUCGUUUACACUGUGACCUAUGGAGUCCGUCACCAGUUUCUUCUUUUAAUGGAUAUAGAUACUAUGCGGUUUUCAUUGAUGAUUGUACUAGAUUUAGUUGGAUAUUUCCUUUAAAACACAAAUCUGAUUUCUUUGAUAAUUUCAUCAAUUAACAAAGUUUUAUUGAGACACAGUUUUCCGCCAAAAUCAAAUCAUUUCAGUGUGAUGGUGGAACUGAGUUUACUAAUAAUAAGUUUCGCUCUCAUUUGCAUUCGUGUGGCAUUAAUCUUCGUCUGGCAUGUCCUUACACUCCUAGUCAAAAUGGAAUUGCCGAACGUAAGCAUCGUCAUGUCACAGAAACAGGUCUUACUCUUAUGUUUCAUGCUCGUGUGCCGCUCUCCUCAUGGGUUAAGGCCUUCUCUACUGCCAUCUUUCUCAUUAACCGACUCCCGUCACCAUCUCUUGCUGGCAAAACACCUUAUGAGCUCCUGUUUGGUAAGCAACCCGAUUAUUCUAUGCUUCGUACUUUUGGGUGUCUUUGCUUCCCUUAUUUGAGAGAUUACUCACCUAAUAAAUUGUCUCCAAAAUCUACUCCUUGUGUCUUUUUAGGUUACAAUACCCUUCAUAAAGGAUUUCGGUGCUUAGAUCGUAAGACACAUCGUGUCUAUGUUUCUCGACAUGUGCAGUUUUAUGAACAUACCUUUCCCUAUAAUGGUGAUUCUGUGCAAAAUCUACCAUCUAACAUUGACUAUAUUCAUUUUUCUGAGUCUCAGGAAUGUGUUUCUAGUUCUUCUAACGUUAGUACUUCAGAUUCUUUGCCUUCACCAUCUUUCUCGAAUUCACUGUGUUUGCCUUGCAAUGAUAUUCCACACUUGUCUUCGACUUCUUCUCCUGGUCCGCAAGUUCCUCUUGAUGAGGACUCUCUCUUGGAUUCUGUUGUUACAGAUUCGACCACUCCUUCACUAGUUUCGUCUUCUCCUCGUGUGACCACUUCCAGCCAUUCGAUGAUUACUAGAGGGAAAACUGGUAUAUUCAAACCACGAUUGUAUCAUGCUAUGAAUAUCUCAUCUUCUUCUCAGUUGUUUCAGGCUCUUCUUGCUCUCAAAGAGCCACGAGGCUUCACGUCUGCUGCAAAACACCCUGAAUGGCUCUCGGCUAUGGAUGAUGAAAUUCACGCACUGAAGAAAAAUGAUACGUGGGUUCUUGUACCUCGUCCUCAACAUCAUAAUGUGGUUGGCUGUCGCUGGAUUUUCAAAACAAAGCUUCACUCUGAUGGGUCUAUUGAGCGUCAUAAGGCAUGUCUUGUGGCUCAAGGAUUUUCUCAAGUUCAUGGUCUUGAUUUUGGUGACACCUUUAGCCCUGUGGUGUGUCCUGCUACAGUCAGAAUCAUUCUAUCCUUGGCUGUUACUUCUGGAUGGCGUUUACAUCAGCUAGAUGUUAAAAAUGCCUUUCUUCAUGGCUUUCUCAACGAAGAGGUGUAAAUGGAACAACCGCCUGGCUACACUGAUCCACAGUUUCCUCAGCAUGUUUGUCGUCUAAAACGUGCUCUUUAUGGCUUGAAACAAGCUCCUCGAGCUUGGUUUCAUCGAUUUAGCUCAUUUUUGCUCAAACUUGGUUUUCACUCUAGUCAGGCUGAUUUUUCAUUGUUUGUCUAUCACUCCUCGCUUGGUACUGUUUACUUACUUCUUUAUGUUGAUGACAUGAUCAUCACUGGAAGUACUCCUUCUCUGGUUCACACCUUUAUUACUCGGCUUUCCAACGAAUUCUCCAUGAAGGAUUUGGGUGAUCUUCAUUAUUUUCUCGGAGUUGAAGUCCAAGCUAAUGAGAAGGGUCUAUUUCUCAGUCAAACGAAGUAUGCUCUUGAUCUCUUGCAACGUGCUUCAAUGAUUGAUGCCAAGCCUAUUUCUACACCUUUUGUUGUUGGACAGCAUCUAUCCGCCGAAGGGACUCUAUUCUCCGACCCUACUCUGUUUCGUUCUCUUGCCGGUGCUCUUCAAUACCUCACGAUCACCAGGCCUGAUUUGUCCUUCAGUGUCAACUCCAUUUGCCAGUUCAUGCAUGCUCCCACCGAGGAUCAUUUUCGUGCUCUCAAGCGUAUCUUGCGCUAUGUUAAAGGCACUGCUCAUCAUGGUCUUCAACUUCACAAACAGUCUACUCAUGAUCUUCUUGGCUACUCUGAUGUGGACUGGGCUGGAUGUCCUGAUACACGUCGUUCUACCACCGGCUAUGCUAUCUUUUUUGGAGCUAAUUUAAUCUCUUGGUCUUCUAAGAAACAAAGCACUGUCUCUCGUUCAAGUGCAGAAGCCGAAUAUCGCUCCUUAGUUGUUGCUACUGCUGAUAUUGCAUGGAUUAUUCAGUUGCUUCGGGACCUUCAUGUUACACUCUCAGUGCCACCUAAAAUUCUUUGUGACAAUCAAAGUGCAAUUUUUAUGGCAGUCAAUCCGGUUACUCAUCCUCGAUCCAAACAUAUUGCAAUCGACUACCAUUUUGUUCGUGAACUUGUUGAUAAAGGCACUUUGAAAAUUGAUUUUGUUCCUUCACAUCUACAGCUUGCUGAUUCACUGACCAAAGGAGUUACCAAGCCACAGUUCUAUCUCUUUCGAAGCAAGCUCAGCGUUCUCCCUUCUACCACGCUCACCUUGCAGGGAGGUGAUAAGGGAGAAUCAAAUUCUCCAUGAUACGUGCUUCCUUCCUUUUCUGUUAGCAUAAUAUCCGCUUGUAUAGCUGUAGGGAUAUGCUCAAUAUUUGUAUUUGAUUCUUUCCUAUUAUGUAGGAGUUUACAACUGUAAUUAUCGUGUAUAUAUAAUGAAGAGUUAUCUCCUCAUCUGGCAAGGAGGAUUUCAGUCAUUUACCGUGUUUAUCAAAACAUCUUUACAGUUGUUCAGUUAUACCAUUAUUUGUCACCUUGUUUUUUUUUUUUUUUUUUUUCAGCAAGCUUAACGUCUUUUCCAGUUCACUAACAUGUCUAGGAUGAUAUACUGCUAUUAGACAAUUCGAUAUAUCCGAAAUGACCUUCACGUUGUCCAGGUUCGAUGCAAUACUAAUUUCCUGUCUCAUAGGCAACCCAAACAUGAUACCCAACAUUCCAAAAGUGCACGAAACAGAGGAAGUGAAGAAAAACAGAGCAUAUACAAAUGAAAAAGAUACGAUUGAACUCAGCUCCAUUUCAUAACGAUCAAUGGGCUGGAUACAGGUGCCAUAGGAAGGAAGCAAAAAAAAAAAAAAAAUGAUUUUGAUACAUCAAGCUCGGGGGAGGAAACAAAGCAUCAGGCAUUGACAAGAAAGAUAGAAAAAAAAAAACACCAGAAACAAAACCAAAACAGAGCAUGCAUACAAAGGAUAGAUCCCUCAAAGCAAACAAGUGGCCUAGUAGUCAUACCUGGAUGUUUUCCUCAAGCCAAAAGUUUCCUGGCCACCCGCUCUGCUCUCCUCCCUUCCCUCUCCUGCUUCAGCCAAAGAACCCCUCUUUUAGAAAGAAUCCCCUCACCUCCAAAUCUCCCCCGUUUCCCCAUCUUCCUUAGCAAGCCACUACCUGAUCUCAUGUGCACCAUUCCGCCAAUGCGUCAUCCUCACCCACCACCAUGGGCAAGCCGUGCUCUUGGCCACCUGUCCAUGCAGCUUCUUCAUGGCAGAAAAUGGGUCCCUCCUCAUCUAAAAAAAAUGAAUGGAAAAUGCCCCCCCCCCCCCGGUGGUCCAAUAUGAAAUUAGAGUUAUUAUAAAUGACAUGAUGAUAAAAUUAAUUAAUUUGUAGAAGUUGAGAAAAUGAACCAUUGUUUCUUUUGUUUUGUCAAAAUGUUUUUGACCAUCAUCCAUAAAGUUGGCGAAUCAACUUUGACUGUAGCACCCCAUUUUGGACUAUAGAGUUGUAGCUUCAACUAAGAUUAGUUUGAUUAGGUUAGUAAUUAUAAUAUGAAUUAAAAACUUAAUAUUUGAAUAUUAUGUGUAAGAUGUAAUACCUUGUUUUUAGUCAUUGAUGGUACUUGUCCUUUUAUUGCAUGAAAACAAAUCUGAAUUGGAAAUGUUAAAGUGAAGUGUAAAUAAAUAGAAAUAUGAUCAUAAUUUAUGUUGUUGAACAUAGAUAACAUGGCGACACCGUUAAGUAGAUAAACUAAAAGAUAACAAUAUAAUAAGAAAUCUAACAUUAUUCGUUAUCAAAUAUUUUUUAUGAUUUUCUAUCCCUUGAUUUUGAAAAUAAAAACGUAGAUAAGGUAAAAAGCAACAAAUAGUAAAAAAAUAUAAAAGCAAGAAAAUGAUAAACAAUGAAAUAAAUAAGUUAAAAAUGACAAACCGUGAAAUACAUAAGUUAGUUAUAGUAAAAUUCUUUGACAAAUGAUUUAUAAAAUAUGUAUUUUUGUUUUUGGGUUAUCGCAUGAAAAAAUUAUUUAAAUUAUAUGUUAUUUUACUGAUAAAAGGUAAUUUCAUUAAAUAUUUACCAUUUCAUCGAAUUCUUUUAUUGAAUUAUUUUGUAUUGGGUUCUUUAAAUGUUGUUUCAUACAUAGAUAUGUGGUUAUUCAUGCCCAGGUUGUUUUCUAAAGUGUUUGAUUUUUAAUUAUAAGUGUAUAUUAAUUUUCGUGGAAUAAUCUUUAAAAAUUAAAUAAAAAUAAAAAUAUAUAAUAAAAAACAUAUUAUUUUAUAUUUUUAAGAAUUAUAGAAACAAUCCUUUAUUUCCUAUUGUUAAAAUUGCUUUCAAACGUAGCCUCACUACCGCAAAUUUUUUACACCACACAACGUUGUAAAUAACAGAGGGAACACAGUUUAGUUUAGUUGGUGUAGACACAUACUUUGUUGUAGCUUAUGAACUUGAAUAUUCUCAAGUUCUAACAAUUGUUAAAUUUAAAAUUAUGUUUUAAUAUAUUUAGAAGUCAACAUUGUGAAAAUAUUAUGAAAGAUAAUACUAUCGUUGUAAAUUUUUUAUUAAAUUUUGAAAAAAUGUAAUGCAAUUUGAAUUUUUUUUAAAAAAAUUAUAGUUUAAUAAAAAUAUCUAUGCACAUGUAUAAGUAAUCUUGUUAAGGUAAUUUAUGAAUUUUAAAAAAUAUCCUAUUUAAAAACUAAUCUAAUUAUACUAACAGACAAUAGAUGAAUUAUCCAAAAUAAUAAAAAAAAAUAAAAAAUAAAAACUAACAUUUUGUUUGUUAAUGCAUAAUAAUAAUAAAAAAAGAUAUUAUCAACAAAUAAAUACCUUGAUAUGUUUAAAAUGAGCGGGAAAUUAUUUCUUUAACCAUAAUUGGUCAUCAUUUUUUAUCUCUGAAAUAUGAAAAUAGAAACAUAGAUAAGUUAAAAACCAAUAUAUGAUAAAUAAAAAAAACUUGAUGAUAAGAAAAUGAUAGAGGGUAAAUUAGAUAAGUUCAUUACCUAAGAUGAAAGGCCAGUUUAGUAUCAAAUUCCAUGGGAGGUUGUUAUAAGAUAUGUAUAUAUAUAUAAUAUCAAAUGACUUAAAGUAGGAGAUAUUUAUUGAGGUUUAAUAUUAAUAUCAUGAAAAUAAAUGAAAGUCAUUAAUUUAAAAUUGAAUCAUUUUUUAAGGGAAAGUUUUGUUUGCAGGCUGCUAUUAGGAAGAUAUAUGGUUUUGGAAACCCAUGUAAAUGAAAUAUGAAAUGUCCUUGUUAAUGGAGAAAAUAUUAUCUUUCUCAUGCACUCUUUGCUGACUCCAAUUUAUAUUCCUAGAUUGCCCCUCCAUGCCUCCAUAUCAGCUACAACCUUGUCUCCAUAUCAGCAAGAAGCCCUCCAUGCCAAUGAGAGAGUGAAAAUUUUUAAAACAAAAAUCUAAAUUUGAAACCUAUGAAAAAUGACCCGACCUGACAACCAUCUCUAAUUUCCUUAAUCUGAAAUUUUCUUCUCUCUGAUUUGAGAGCAUUUCUCUUUCUCUCUCUCUCUCUCUCUCUCUCUCUCUCUCUCUCUCUCUCUCUCUCUCUCUCUCUUUUCCUCUCUCUCUCUCUCGGCUUCAUCACCCACAUAAUCCCAAGACCCAUGUAAAAUUUCCCAAAAAUUGUCUUAUUUAAGAGAAAAAAACCAUUAAUCCAAAACUCUAACUUGCAUGUUUCUUUCUUGUCCACAUAAAAGUGCAACGAAAUGGAGCAUUCCAUCCUAAGAAUGUCCAGUUAAAAGACGACUUCAAGAGGCACAUCUGUGAUUGUGAAUCUACUACAGCAGCGCGUACCAAAACGGAAAGGUGGAAUCCAAAAUAUUGGCUUUGUAAACAAGAUAUCUCUUUCUAUCAUUGAGUGACAUUUUGCCCUAACCCUAAACCGAAAUCUGAAGGUAAAUUAUUUUCAUUUAUUGUUCUUUAGUUCAUUUAUUUGAAAUAGAGCACAUCAACGUUUUGGAGUCGUUUGUGGACAUGAACUUUUGUGUUGGGUUGUGGGAACCAUAUUAUUCCUAAAUAAUCAUAUGACCCACAAGUCAUAUUGAACCAAGAUGGAACUUACAACAUAUAUGGUUGUAAGUCGCAUUGUUAUUUUGCGGACUGUACCUUAGGUACUACCUUAAUAGCCCUUAGGUACCACCUUAACCUACCUUAGGUACCACCUUAACCUACCUUAGGUACUACCUUAAGCCACCUUAGGCACUACUUUAGUUAAAGUUAGGUUGUACCUACCUAAAGCAUCGAACCUUCCUUUGUCACCCUUAGAGCAUGCCAUUAUGUGAUUCUUUUAUGUGGUCAAGUGGUUCGCCUUUGGUUUUUUGUGGAUUAUACCUUAGGUGCUACCUUAAUAGUCCUUAGGUACCACCUUAUUCUACCUUAGGUACUACCUUAAGGGACCUUAGGUACUACCUUAGUUAAAGUUGGGUUUUACCUAUUCGAUGCCUUGGACCUUCCUUUGUGACCCUUAGAUCAUGUCAUUAUGUUAUCUUUUGUGUGGGCCAGUGGUUCACCUUUGAUUUUUUAGGGACAGUACCUUAGGUACUACCUUAAUAGCCCUUAGGUACCACCUUAAUCUACCUUAGGUACUACCUUAACCGACCUUAGGUACUACCUUAGUUAAAAUUGGGUUUUACCGAUCCGAAGCCUCUAACCUUCAUUUGUCACCCUUAGACCAUGCCUUUAUGUGAUUCUUUUGUGUGGUCAAGUGGUUCACCUUUGGUUUUUUGCAGACUGUACCUUAAGUACUACCUUAAUAGCCCUUAGGUACCACUUUAAUCUACCUUAGGUACUACCUUAAGGGACCUUAGGUACUACCUUAGUUAAAGUUGGGUUCUACCUAUCCGAAGUCUUGGACCUUCCUUUAUGACCCUUAAACCAUGCCAUUAUGUGAUUCUUUUGUGUGGGCAAGUGGUUCACCUUUGGUUUUUUGGGUACUGUACCUAAGGUACUACCUUAAUAGCCCUUAGGUACCAUCUUAAUCUACCUUAGGUACUAACUUAGUUAAAGUUGGGUUCUACCUAUCCAAAGCCUCAGACCUUCUUUUGUGACCCUUAGACCAUGCCAUUAUUUGAUUAUUUUGUGUGGGCAAGUGGUUCACCUUUGGUUUUUUGGGGAUUGUACCUUAGACACUACCUUAAUAGCCCUUAGGUACCACCUUAACCUACUUUAGGUACUACCUUAACCGACCAUAGGUACUACUUUAGUUAAAGUUGGGUUCUACCUAUCCAAAGCCUCUGACCUUCCUUUGUGACCCUUAGACCAUGCCAUUAUUUGAUUUUUUUGUGUGGGCAAGUGGUUCACCUUUAGUUUUUUGGGGACUGUACCUUAGGCACUACCUUAAUAGCCCUUAGGUACCACUUUAAUCUACCUUAGGUACUACCUUAACCGACCAUAGGUACUACUUUAGUUAAAGUUGGGUUCUACCUAUCCGAAGCCUCUGACCUUCCUUUGUGACCCUUAGACCAUGCCAAGUGGUUCACCUUUGGUUUUUUGGGGACUGUACCUUAGGUACUAUCUUCAUAGCCCUUAGGUACCACCUUAAUCUACCUUAGGAACUACCUUAACCGACCUUAGGUACUACCUUAGUUAAAGUUGGGUACUACCUAUCCGAAGCCUUUGACCUUCCUUUGUGACCCUUAGACCAUGCCAUUAUGUGAUUCUUUUGUGUGGUCAAGUGGUUCACCUUUGGUUUUUUUAGGACUGUAUCUUAGGUACUACCUUGAUAGCCCUAAGGUACCACCUUAAUAUACCUUAGGUACUACCUUAACCGACCUUAGGUACCAUCUUAGUUAAAGUUUGGUUCUACCUAUCCGUAGCCUCUAACCUUCCUUUGUCACCCUUAAACUGAAAAUGCUCACUCAAACGUUUGGAGCAUAAGACAAUUUGUUCAUUAAAGGUCACAACAUUAAAGAAAUUGAGAAUUUUUGACACAUCAUAAGAUUUUGAAUAAAUUCUAGUUGAGAUGUAAAGCUAACAACUAUAUCUAUGGAAAUUACAUUUUAGCAUUUUCCAAAUUUAAAUUUAAGCUAAUAUGUACAAAUUUUGUCAAUAUAAGCUAAUACCUUGAUUCUAGUACAUUUAAGCUAAUAUGUACAAAUUUUAGCAUUUCCCAAAUUUACAUUUUGUCACUUAAACAUUUUGCCAUUUUGCACAAACUUAUUUAACCCAUCUUCUUCAUUCUAGUACCUUGAUUUUCAUUAAUCCUUGGAUCAACUCAUUUGACCAAAAAUAAUUUUGUGAAAAGACAUUUCAAACAAACUUUUAAUUUAAGUAUAUUAUAUAAAUCUUAUUUAAAAUUUUUGAAUGAUUUAAUUUUUCAUUUAAAAAUAUAGUUACAAAUUUUAUUAAAAUUAAUAUUUUCAUUUGUGGGUUUAUGGACAAAAAUUUAAGAUAAUUUUAAUAGCAAGUUAGAUAAAUAUAUGUAUUGACUAAUAAGAAUUUAAGUAUUAUUUGUUUUAUUGUUUAGGGUUGAAUGUAACAUCAGAUAAAAGAAGAAAAGGGACAAUAUAUCAUAUCCCAUGUUUGGUUAGUGAUAGAAGAAGAUAAGUUAACCUUACAACUUGUCAUAUCUUAUAUUCAACCAAACAUGGAAUAGGGUAACUCGAUAUUAUCAAUUGUUUAUAUAUAUAUAUUACUUAUCUUGCAAAAUAUUUUUUUUCGUUAAAAAGGAAAAUUAAAAAAAAUUAUAAAAUAUAUUAUUAAAUAAUAUUAAUAUAUUUAUUAUUCAAUAUAUACAAAAUAUUUUUAUAUAUUGAAUAUCAUAAUAUAUAUAAUAAAUUUUAAUUUAUAAAGUUUAAAUAUUUUAAUUAUGAAUAUUAUUAAAUGUAAAACAUAAAAAAUAUUGAAAUGUAAUAUAAUUUUUAAUUUAAACAUUGAAAAAUAAUAUAUACUAUAUCUUAUUUUUAUUCAUUUACAAAUUAAAUAUAAACAUAAUAUAAUAGACCCACUGAAUAUAAUAUUCAAUAACAUCAUAUCUUAUUAAAAAUCAUAUAUUUAAAUUUCCUAAUAUACAUAUAUAUUCUAUCCUACUAACCAAACAUAACCUUAAAAUAUUUUCAAACAUUUUCAUAACUUCUAUCAAUUUGCGUUCCACCCAAAUUUUGUUUUCUUUUGUUUCACAUUUUUCAUCCCAUAUUUUUCAUAUUUAUAUAAAUUCAAGUACCAACUUUUAAUACCUUCAUCAUUUUCAACAUUGUUGUAGAGAGUCAUAAAAAACUUAUUUAUUUUUAAUUAAAUGAGAUUCUGUCAACAUAUUUUUAAAAUGAGAAAUUAACACUGAUAUAAUAAUCUUAUUUUUUGUAGUGUGGCAUCUCAAAAUAUUGAAAAUUUUCUAGCAUUCGUUGUAAAAUGACUAAAAUCAUCAAAAAUAUUUUUCUUCACUUACAUAAUUAUUAAAUAAGUUUUUAUCUUUUAUUUUUAAAAGUAAAAAAAAAAAUUGAAUACCAAAAAUAUUUAGCAUUUAUAGAAAUUAGAAACAACAUUUAUAUUUUCUAUCUAAAAAGAGAAAAAUUAAAAGUCUCAUAUUGACUUACCUACAACAAAAAGGAUCCUAAAAUCAACCUAACAAACUUCAAACAAGCAAUAAUCAGCAUAAACCAAACCAUCUCACACUUCAACUUGCACUGCACUUACAAUUAACAAAACAGACCCAUAAGAAAACAAAAGAGCAGGAUGAGUUUUUUCAUAUUCUUGUUUGCCAACUGCGCUUUCAGGUGUUUUCUAAUAACAUAUUUGGUGGGGUGCUCAUGCAAUCUCCUUCUGUACAUGAUUUUGAUCAAAGAGAAAUGUUUUGCUUCUACCUUUUCCCUAGAAGUAACAUCAAUGGGAAGGUUCACUAGCUUUGCUUUAGAACUAGCUUUAUUUUAACUUUUCAUUUAUAAAAUCAUCCCCCAUAUUGGAAGUACUUCAUUUCUAUGCCUUCAAAUGGAUCUACCAAUAUAUGCCAUUUCUUUCAAAUUCAUUCUUUGAUCAUGUUGCAUUCAGGUUGUACAUUAAUAUCCUGUACUGAUGACCUUCUGAAGUGAUGUUGACAUUGAUCUUGACAAUGUCAACAAAUCACUAAAGAGAAGCGCAUGUACAAGUGCAAAAGAUAGGCACAAAUACUUUGCAAGGGCACACAAACACAAUAAUUUACAUGAGAGUUUGAUUUCAUUUGCCUGCAAAAUCAACCCAUUUUUACAGUUAUAGGCUUGCCUUAUACAUGUCCAAAAAGCAUACAAGACCAAUAAUCCGUUGAUUCAGACUUUGUCUAGGAUGACUACGUAUGGAAUAAAUAUGAGGAGUCACAAUACUGUCUGUUCAAACUCAUAAUAUUCAAAUAAUGUCUGUAUUAGACCCUAUUGGCACUUUAAAGAUUUCAAUGACUACGUAUCGGUCAAACUAGUGAACUAUGAAUUAGUAAUUUUUUUUUAUUCAAUGACUGAUCUUAUUCUAAAAACAUUGAUUUAAAAGAUUUCAAAUUAACACUACCUAAAGGCAUUGAUAUAUAUGUAGAGGCUUUGGGUGUCAAUUAAGCCUAAAUAUUUAAUUACAUCGCUUCUAGUAUUUAAGCGUGCACACGUGAUGCAACUUUUUGUUUGAAUGAUAUUACAUGGACAAUUACUUGUUGAAUAUUUAAAUGUUAAAAAUAAUAUUAUUAUUAAAGAAAACUUAGAAAUAAACAUUUAAUGACUCAAAUUUUCUUUAUUUCUAAAAUUAAAUUAUACUUCUCUCUUCUUUAAACAAUUUUUUCAUAAAUGAAUGUGUUCAAACAUUUUUCAAGAUCUAUUUAUCUCGAUAAACAUAACUUUCAGAAUUUUCUUUUAUCUUCUCUUCAUUUAUAUUCAUAAUUGUUUUGAAUUAAUUUUGAUUUAUCUAUUAAAAAUUAGUUGUGGUUUGCAUUCUUUGUAUAAUAUUUAUUAUUAUCAUCAUUAUUAUAAUAACAAAGAAAUGAUUAAAAAUAUUUGCUGAAAAAUAAGGUUAAAAAAUUUUAUAUAAGAAAAAUAAAAUGUGGUAAACUUGUUUUUAGGCAAACCCUUAAAUAUUUUCAUUAAUUAAUAUAUUUUUUUUUUUUACAAUUUUUCCAAAUUCAUGUGGUAUAAUUUGAGUGAAAAUUUAUUAAAAACUAGAAAAAUAAAUAUUUGAUAUAUUUAAUAAUCUUGUUUUCCAGGCAAUAAAAUCUUCUUGUCUGUUGAAGUCUCGCGUCACCCGGGGUUCUCGCAGUAGCCAGAUGGACGCUCCCUUUCAACUGAUGAUGAUUCAUGCCUCAAUCAACCUGCAAAAGACGUCCGGACAGGUUGUCCGGACAUACCCUCCGAUGGUUUUGUUAGUUUUCUCUCUAAUAAUCAAUCUUCCCUUUUUACUGAGUAAGAAAGCUUACCUUCUCUCCUCGCAUGAAGGCUCUUUUAUAGUGUCAGAAGUUCUGUCCCCUUUAAUGGUGGGAAGACUUUUUGGCUUGUCAUGAUGGCGCUGAGGUAGUGGCAGAGCCAUCAUGGUCCUGCAGGCGCAUGUCAGAUAUUGUGGAGGGGAUGGCUUACCGUUAUUCCUGUCAUUUUGCUCUGCAGGCGGUGGAAUGCGGGCUGUGACAGGUUGUCUGAGGUGACUUAGUAUGGUCCUGUCGAAAGUGCUUCUGCCAGUGUAGGCCAGGAUGGCCUACGUUUCACGGGCAAGGCUUUUGAUUAAGUUGCUAACGCUGGUUCCGAACAACAUAUCCAGACAAGAGAAGGAGUCGUUCGGACCGUGGGUUUGAGAGUGUCGUACGCCCCCCCAGAGGGAAUCCGGAUAGAAAGUUGAUGUGCCAUGUGUCCCCUGGAGGGGUGCUAUGCGGGGUUGCCACGUGGGCGUUUGGGGGUGGUCCCUACAAUGCCUCCCUUUUAACAUGGCUAUUUUGCCCGGGCAGAAAAGACGGGUUAAAAAUGAUGCUUUUAAACCCUUCGUUUCUUUUUUGGGGUUUAUCUGCCACGUGGUAUUGCGGAAGGGGGGGUAUUUAUGGCGAGCCGCCGUUCUUGGGGGGAUUUCUAGGCGGCAUGUCGUUUCGAUAGUGGUGCGGUUAGGCGCCUGGUUAUUUGGAGGACUAAGAAGUCGCAUCCCUUAAAUAGGAAUCCAGCCCCCGCGACUACAUUUUUCGUUCUACGUUUUUUUCUCAUCUGUAUUUUCCCUUUGCCUCUCUGUUCAUCUUCGCCUAUGACCGAGGGUCGCUUUCUAGGGCUUCUGUUAGCGGCAUUCUUGUCACAAGGGCGACUGUAUCGCGACCUUCGUUCCAGUUGCAAGCUUGCGCCAGGUAUGUUCUGUAUUUCUAUCUCCUCAUCUUAAGCUUCCUGUUUCUUCGAUUUUUGCUGGCUUGUUGGGUAUUUUGUUUGCAAUUGAGGGUCAGAGGUAAUGUUUAGGGUUUUUCAAGGGGUUUUGAUUUUGCUUUUGGCCCAUUGUGGCUUUUGUUGCCCUCCUAUUGCCUUUGCGGAUGACUGAACCGCAUUUGGGGUAGAGUUAGGGGUUAGGCUUGGGGUUUUGGCUAUUUUAGGCCUUCUGGGUCAUUUGUUCUCAGGGUUGUGGGGCGGGGUACCUCUAUUUUAACUGUUGGCAUUUUGCCAUGCAGGUUUUGUCUCGGCCCCACGCUUUAACAUGCCUGCGAAAAAGGAUGUGGCUUCGUCUAGUACGGCUGGGCUUAGUGGAAAAAGUGUAUACGGACAGACCUACUUGGGGAAGCCUACUGACAAGUUGAACGAGAGGGAGUUUUGUGAGCGUUUCUGAAUCCCGAAUGAUGUCUCUGUUCAGCUAGUGGACGGGGAUGCUAUGUCCACUGAGAAAGCUGUCAACCACGCCAUUUACUUUUCCAAGGAGCAAUUCAAUGCGGGGCUCCGGUUUCCUUUUUUGUCUCUCUUCAAAGAGUUCCUCCACUUCACUCAGAUUCCUGUAGCUUAUGUCCAUCCCAAUAUUGUCCGGGUGUUGAUGGGGUGCAGUAUCCUAAAUAUGCUGUUCAAUUUGGAUCUUUCCUUGCUGGAGGUCCUCUUUGUUUACACCAUCAAGAAGGAGAAGACAGACCUCUUCAGCUUGUUUGCCCAUAUCCCAUCCCUUCAAUUGGUGACCAACCUUCCGGAUUCGAACAAGGGGGGAGCCAAAGGGCAUGUACUGGUCAGGGGUCACUGGGCUGGUCUGUCGGAGCCUUCAGAAAGGGAGUUUACCCCCAACCGUUCGUGGACGCUUCCGUGUAGGGUAGCUCUUGGUGUCUGUUCGGUGUUGGUUUUUGACUCUUGAUUCAGUGUUAUCAGAUGACUAACCUCUUUUGUUUUGGGUAACACAGGUACACACAAGAGGGGUCGCUUGGUCGAGUGGGUGGAGAAGGCCUCUUUCGAUCGUUUGAACAGGUUGUUUGAGAUCACUUCCAUCGAGAGGCACUAGCAGACACUUCUUUCUACCCGGAACCUGUUGGUGGUCGUCCGGGAACCUCAGCCGUACGUCCUCGAUAUUCUCUCCAGGCGACUACCCAAGGUUGUAGUGCCCGGGGAACACUUUGUGCUGAAGGAUCUGCCUUUUUACGAAAGGGCUAGCGAGGCUAACGCAAAGGCGCGCUAGGAGUGCCUUGACCAGCGGGAGGAGAAGAGGCAGGAGGGGACACUGAGGAAAACACCUGUAAGAGAAAGGGCCUGGCGAGAAGGGACACGGCUCUUCUCUCGCGGUCUGUCUUCCGACUGCAAAGAAGAAGAAAAAGAAAACCAUUGCGUAUGCUCUCCAAGUAGUGUCUCCGGCUCCUGAUCUUUCGUCUUCAUCCUCCGACUCUAUGUCCAGUCGACCGAAUAACCCUACCCCGAAGCCUGAGGAUACUUCUAGCUUCCCACAGCUUGAGACUUUCCGUUCGGGGCUUAGCUCUUUCCAGCCUCAGUUGGACUUCGUUGGCUUGAGAGUCGUGCAUGAGCCGGAGGAAGUGAGAGACAUGAACGACCUCAGAACCGGGUUUUUACAAAGGCAUCGUAAGUGGCUGUAUGAUCCCAUAGAUCUUGCACCUCCUCCAGCCAAGAAGGAUUGCCCAGAGAGAGAUGGGGAGGAUCCGACGGCAGAAGUUCCUUUGUUAGCUAUGGCCCAUCCGGACGAGGCGAGUUCUAGCGCGGCUACAGCGGUUCAGCCAGACACUGCAGGAUCUGAUGCAGCGGCAACGACUCGGCCCGAAGUUCCAGGGCUUAGCGCAGCGACCGUUGCUCAACCAGGCUUAACUGCUCACAGCAAUGCCCCGACUACAAUGGAGACCCGUGGGACAGAGGGGGUUCCGGAGGCAGCGAUUGACGAGAAGGCUUCGGACAAGAAGAGUAGUCCAGCUACCACGGUUCCUCUAAGAUGGGAGGAAAUGAUGGAGAUGCUGAAGGGAGUGCCAUGUUUCACGGAUGCGGAGGCUCAUUCCACAAGGAUGUCUGACUUCUUUUCGCUUGCCAAACGGGUCUCUGUGAACAUGGGUGGUGAUCCUCCUGCCUUUGUCAAGGCCCGACUUCUUUUUGGCACCCCUGAGCCCGCCGUUUCUUGUAUUCAACAUCUGUAGAAGUGGACGAUCCCUGAGACUGCAGAAGUGGUAAUCAUUUCUUUGCUACUUUUUCCUUCUUCCUUAACAACUGUUACUCCUUUGCACUACAUUAGCUUUUGUUUUGAUGUUGUUCUGCACAGGUCAUGGCUGGCAUCCGCUACAUGAUGCAUAUGCGCGAACAACUCUUCAAGCAGCUGGAAGUGGCGGAGGCUAUGCGCGCCUUCAUCUCUCACCAUCUAGGCGACGUUGAGGAGAUGCGCUCGAGGUUAAAGAAGGUGGAGGCUGAGUUGGCCACUGCUCAGAAGGUCGUAGCGGAUGGGGCGGAGAAGCUGAGCCAGGCUGAGGAGGAGAAGGGGGCUGUCCGGGCUAAGGUGAACUUGCUGAAAAGGGAAAAAGGGGCCCUGGAGGGUCAAAUCAAGGGGGUGGAGCAAGAGAAUUCUCAGCUUAAGAAUGAGGUAGAUGAACUUCGGGCUAGCCUCGCAGCUCAGAAGAAGGAGACAGAGAGGUUGCAGGUAGGCCUAGUUGCUCAGAGGGAGGAGAUGGAGGCCGGGAUUGCCGCUCAGAAGAAGGAGUUGGAGACGGAGUAUCAAAGGCAGGUAGAUGAGAUGUACUUCUUCGACUACCGUUGCUGCAUGAAGAAGAACGGCAUUAUGCAUGAUGUUCUGUCUCUUCCUUGUGACGAUGAGGAUGUGAUACCCGGAGGCCCUCCUUGCUGAGAUUUCUUUGUGUGCAGUCCUCCUUAUACUUUUUCUCUUUGUUUUGCUGCUUUUGGGGCAGCAGAUUUUGUAAAGACAAAUUUUCAGUCCUUUAUAAAUGCUUUAGACUUCUUUGUUUUUCUCUACCUUUUGCUUCUCUUUAUUGGUAAUAUUGCUUAAGGUUAGAUACAUUUCAUGGACAGAGCAACGGGGUUCCGUCUAACUUUUGUAGGUGAUAGGCUCCGCUUUCACUUGCCUUAGUUACAAUAUAAGGACCUUCCCAAUUCGCUUGGAAUUUCUCGACUCCUCUUUCAGCGGUGUUUUCGAAAACCUUUCUAAGGACCAGCGUUCCGAUCUUGAAGACCCGGGGUCAUGCCUUGCGGUUAUAGUGAGUGGCCGCUCUUUGCUGGUAGUCAGCCAUCCGAAUGGACGCGUUUUCUCUCACUUCAUCCGCCCAGUCUAGGUUCCUUCCUAGUUCCAUACUUUCAUCACUCUAUCCUCGUGCAUCAGUCCGAAUAAUGGGCAAGCCUAUUUCUGUGGGGAUGACUGCAUCCAUGCCGUAUGCAAGGGCGAAUGGAGUGUUUCCCGUGGGUUGGCCGGGUGUGGUUCGGUAGGCCCAUAGGAUGCCGGGCAGUUCCUCUACCCACUUUCCUUUGGCCUGCUCAAGCCUCUUCUUUAAGGCAGUCACCAAGGUUUUAUUUGUCGCUUCUGCCUACCCAUUGCUUUGAGGGUAAGGCGGUGUGGAGUACAAAUUGUGGAUUUUGAGCUCCGAGCAGAAAUUCCGGAAGGCAAUGUUGUCAAACUGUGGACCAUUGUCGGCUGUGAUUGCUUGAGGGAUCCCAAAGCGGCAAAUGAUGUUCUUCCACACAAAUUUGGUGACAUCCUUGUCCUUGAUUCUGGCAUAUGCCACUACUUCUACCCAUUUGCUGAAGUAGUCAGUGGCAACGAGUAGGAAUUUCUUCUGAGCAGCCGCGGUUGGUAAAGGUCCUACUAUGUCCAUCCCCCAUUGUGCAAAAGACCAAGGGCUGGAAAUUGGCUUCAACGUUUCAGACGGUGCAUGCGGUAUGGGGCAUGUCUUUGGCAUUUGUCACACUUCUUGACAUAAGCCGCCGCGUCUCUCUUCAUAGUUGGCCAAUAGUAGCCCUGCGAGUGUGCUCGAUGCGCCAAAGAUCGUCCUCCGGGGUGAUUGCCGCAUACACCCUCAUGUAACUCAGCUAAUAUGUAUUGAGCCUCUGAGCAGUCUAGGCACUAGAUGUAGGGGCCUGUAAAAGAUCGUUUGUAAAGGUGCUCCCCGAUCAGAGCGAAACGGGCAGCUUGUACCCGGAUCUUGUGCGCUUGCUUGGGUUCAUCAGGUAAAGAUCCUAUUCGGAGGUAUCAUGUUAUGACUUCCGUCCACUCCUGGCCCUCUUCCUGGCUCUCCUCAAUAGUAUUGCAAGUGGAUGCUUUUGUGAUGGAAGGAUCAGUCUACACAUAUAUAGGCAAUAAUAUGGCCUCUUUGAUGGGCAGGAAAACAGCUAUUCUUUCCAGGGCAUCAGCACGUACGUUAUCACCUCGUGGGAUUUUUUCUAUGGUCCAUUCGCCUAACCGUUGUAGGGUGUCUCUCACUUUUGUUAGAUGUCGUGCCAUGCGUUCGUCCUUGGCUCCGUAUUCCUCCUACACGUGUCUUACCACGAGUUGAGAAUCGCUGUAGACUCGAAGCUUGGAGACAGAUAGUGCGAGGGCGAGAUCUAGUCCAGAUAGGAUGCCCUUGUAUUCUGCUUCAUUGUUUGAUGCGGGGAACCCCAGCCCGAUAGCUUGCUCCAGUUGUUCACCCAUUGGGGAUUGCAAUAAAAGUCCUAUUCCGGACCCCGAUGAUCGAGAGACUCCGUCAACCCAUAAGGUCCACCACUCUUCUUUGUGCGGUUCCUCGUCUCGAACAGGUUUUUGGGAGGACUCUACCACAAAGUCGACCAUUACCUGCCUUUUCAUGGACAAUCUCGGUUGGUAUUCGAUCCCAUACUCACUUAAUUCUAUGGCCCAUUGGAGCAUUCUUCCGGACAGAUCCGGCUUGUGCAGGAUGUUGCGAAGGGGCUGGUCGGUAAGUAUGACUACCGAGUGGGCUUGGAAGUAGGGGCAGAGUUUCUGGGCGGCACUUCGCAAGGCUAAGGUUGUUUGCUCUAUCUUUGAAUACCUUGUUUCUGCAUCGGCCAAUGCUCUGCUGACAUAAUAAAUAGGUUUCUACUCCCUAUGUGUAGGGCAGCGAAACAGAACAGCGCUAACUGCCUAAUCUGACAUAGCCAAAUACAUAUACAACUUUUCUCCGGGAAGGGGGCUGCUCAAGAUGGGUGGUUGCGUUAGGUAGUGUUUGAUUUUCUUGAAAGCUCUUUGACAUUUGUUCGUCCAUCCAGUCGUGCCGGCUUUCCAUAAUACUAAGAAGAAGGGUCCCAAUUCGUCAGUGAAUCGGGCUAUGAAAUGUCCUAAUGCGACGAGCUUGCCUGUGAGGCGCUGCAACUCCUUUUUGUUCUUGGGGGGUGGUGUUUCCAUGACUGCCUUAAUUUGGUCAGGGUUGACUUCUAUCCCUCUUUGGCUGACCAUGAACCCCAAGAAUUUCCCAGCACUCACGUCGAAAGCGCAUUUGGAUGGAUUCAGCUUCAUGUCGUACCUCCUUAGUAGGUGGAAAACUUCUUGUAAGUGGUGCGCAUGCUCUUCUCGAGUUUUACUUUUAACCACUAUAUCAUCAAUGUAUACCUCCACUGUGCGGCCAACCAAGGGUUUGAAGAUCUUUGUCAUCAUUUUCUGAUAAGUGGCACCGACAUUUUUGAGUUCGAAUGGCAUGACUUUAUAACAAUAAAGCCCAUGUGGAGUUAUAAAGGCUUUCUUUUCUUCGUCGGUAAGGGCCAUGGGGAUUUAGUGGUACCCGGAGAAGACAUCUAGGAAGGAGAGCAUUCCUUGCCCGACAGUGGAGUCCACGAUUUGAUCUAUCCGCGGUAGAAGAAAACUGUCUUUUGGGCAUGCAUUGUUGAGGUUGGUAUAAUCGACGCAUACUCGCCAUUUUCCCUUCUUUUUGGGUACCACCACUACAUUCGCCAGCCAAUCCGGAUACUCCACUUCUCUAAUAAAUCCGGCUUCUAACAAUUUGUCAACCUCGUCCCGAAUAAUUUUUUGCCUAUCCGGGUGAAACCGCCUAACCUUCUGCCGGAUGGGUCUUGAUGAAGGCAAGAGUUAAGCCGAUGGGAGGCGAUUGAAGGAUGGAUUCUCGUCAUGUCGGAAUGCGUCCACGCAAAGGCGUCGUGGCUUUGUCGGAGGGUGUCUUGGAUAUCCCAGGCCUCUUCAGGUGUCAAGAGGGAGCUGAUAUGUGUGAGAUGAGUGUUUUCCUUCGAGAUUUGGAUUGGCCGCAAGGGAUUUGCUGCUGGGGGAUCUUUAUCCGUCGGGUUCAAUAAUUGCUAUUGGUUUGGCACGUUGGUGGGUUCGGGGAGGGGCUAGCCAUCUUUGCUGGAUCCAACUUCUCGCGUUAUCUGAUAGCACUGGCGAGCAGCCAGCUGGCUGCCAUAUAGAUCGAUUUGUCCGUCCUCAGUGAGAAAGCUUACCAUCUAAUGGUAUGUGGAAGGGAUGACUUUCAUGUAGUGCAGCCACAUGCGUCUCAAGAUGGCGUUAAAGGGGGACAAAUCUUCUACCACUGAAAAUUGUAUGUUAAGAGUGACUGGGCCUGCUUGGACUGGUAGCACAACGUCUCCAAGAGAGGUGGUUGUCGCUCCAUUGAAUCCGGACAAGAUCCGCCCAGGAUUUUCUAAGCCGGAUAGCUCGAGUCCCAUCUGCUUGAUUACUGAUGCUUGUAAGAGAUCGGCCGAGCUACCUGGGUCAAUUAGGAUCCGUCUCACAUCAAAGUCCCCAAUCCCCAGGGAUAGGAUGAGGGCGUCACGAUGUGGUUGUAAUAUUAGUGUGGGAUCUACUAGGGGAAAACGAUUGUCCCGUCUAUCGAGUGGGUACUCCCGCCAGUUAAACCGGGCCGGAUGGAAUUGACGCGCUCACGCACCGACACUGCUCGUAGCAACCUCUGCCUCUUUCGUUUGGAGUUGUACUCCUCAUCCAGUGGUCCUCCGUGGAUGUAAUUGAUGACGGUCUUAGGGGCGAUUGGGGCCUGAAGGUCCUAGAAUCGCGGCUUCGGGAAGUAUCUUUAACCCUAGCUUCUGAGCGGAGGUAUUGCUUCAAAUGUCCUGCUUUUAUGAGCCUUUCUACCAAGUAAUGGAGACUCCUACAUCGCUCUGUAGUAUGACCAUGCUCUUUGUGGUAAACACACUUCUUGAUAUGAUAUCUCUUGGCUGGGUCCAUUCUGAUGGGUCCAGGCCACCUGAAGUCGGACAGGUAUUGUAUCAUAGGAAGAAGCUUCCAUAUGACACAGUAAGGGGAGUGAGAGGCGGCAGCUCCUGGCGACUUUGCUCCCCCUGCCUUCGAUCACACGUCCUAGGCUGGUUCGGAGGUCUGGAACUUCUUUCUGCGUCGCUUUUGGAUGUCUAUCCGGUGACCAAAAUUUGCUGGGUGGCUGCAUGCACAUCAUCUUCCAGCAUUGAGUAUUUGCUUGCGCGUCGGAACAAGUCAUCCAUCGUCGUGGGAGGCUUUUUAACGAGUGAUUCAAAGAAUGGGGUACCUAGGCAUAUACUUUUUUUGAAGAUUUGGAGGACAGCAUCCAUGCUGUAGGCCUCUACUUGCAACACAGUCUGACCAAACCGUUUCACGAAUUCUCUCAAGGACUCAUUCUCCUGCAUUUUUAUGUUUUGCAGGGUGCUGAUGUUCUGUUUAUGCCGGGCGGAGCAUAGGUAUCGUCCCAAAAAGCUUCCGAUAGGUCCCAAAAGUUAUCAAUAGAGUUCGAGGGGAGUUGGUGAAACCACAAAAGAGCUUGGUCUUGUAAGCUGGCAGGGAAUACUUUGCACAACAACACAUCAUUCCCUAUGUCGAGAGUCAUGAGUUGUCGGUAAUGCAUGAUAUGGUCGAAUGGAUCACUAGACCCGUCAUACGCAGAAAAUUUUGGCACAAGGAAUCCCCUUGGGGGAUCAUAAUGGAUAAUACGUGAGCUAAAAGGCAUGGAGAACAUGUCAUCCAACCUCUUGCUAAUGGAACCUGGGGGUGGUUCAUUUGAUGAGUUCCUUCCGACUUGUCGUACCGCUUGGUGCAGGGAUUGUUCUGAACAGUGGAUGCGACUGGGGGGUCAGGAUAUGCUUCCCAGGUUGCGGCCACCAGCGGCCUCUCCUUACCAGGUUCCUGCGGCCUUAACCUCGCGCGCAUUACGUCUAACAACUAGGGUCUUUUAUCACGUUGUCUCUUUGAUGAGAGACGGGUAGAGUCCGAGCUUUCAUCUUGGGGAGCAGAAUACGUGGGCAUGGGUCGUUCCCGAGAUCGUUCAUUGCGCAUAUCAAGGACGACCCCUGCAAUUCCGAGAUAUACCGAUUCUAGAUCAGGCCUAGAGUUUGCCCCCUGGCCUCUUGGGCAUUGGUCAUGAGGAGGCCCCGAGGACGAAACCUGGAUGUGUAACACCGCGUUUUCUUCUCUUAGUCUCGUCGUUUCCCGGAGGAGAGCUUGCAUUUGUCGUUCGCUCUCCAACUGUCACCUUUCCAUGGUCUCGCGCCAUUCGAAAUAGCCUUCAUCUCCUCUGGCUGACGAACGGCUCUUGGAAGGUGUGGAGGGGAUGGCUUGCUGUCAUUCUUGUCCUUUCGCUCUGUAGGCGGUGGAAUGCGGGUUGUGACAGGUUGUCUGAGGUGACUCAGUAUGGUCCCGUCGAAAGUGCUUCUGGCAGUGUAGGCCAGGAUGGCCCGCGUUUCACGGCCAAGGCUUUUGAUUAAGUUGCUAAUGCUAGGUCCGGACAACAUAUUCAGACAAGAGAGGGGGUCAUCCGGACCGUGGGUUUGAGAGUGUCGUACGCCCCUCGGAGGGAAUCCGGAUAGAGAGUUGAUGUGCCACGUGUCCCCUGGAGGGGUGCUGUGCGGGGUUGCCACGUGGGCAUUUGGGGGUGGUCCCUACAUUGUCCAACUCACGUUAAUGUAUUAAAUUAAUAAUCUCACUAAAUAUAUAAGAUAAUAGUUUUUUAGAAAUUCUUCAGAGUCUAAUAAAAUAUAAAUUAAUAACUAAUGAAAUAUUUGGAAAAAAACAAAAGAAUUCAUAAUACAAACUUUCUCAAAAUAUACAUUGAAAUUUAUUUAUUUUCUUUGCACCUAAACUAACUCAAUUUUAUCUUUAUUUUUUUGUAAUAUAUAUACACUAAAUUAAUAAAUUAUUGAUUUAUUGAUAAAUUAAUAAUUCCUUUUGAUUCAAGAAUAAUAUUUUAUUUUAUAGGGUUUUUCCUAUAGCUAGGAGUGGCGCAAAGGAGAUAGCAAAUAAUUAUCCAUCAAUGAGUUACUGGCUUACUACUGCUUCCGGGUUAUGUACGCCGCUUUAGUCAAGAUCUUCAUUGCAACCUAUAACAAGCUAAGCUCUAAGUCAAGUCAAUUGGUCCCCCAUCGUAAUUACCCAAAUGAGAUUGUAUGGAAUCACACUUUCAUCUUUGAGUGAAAGAAGGAGCCUUCCUUGACCGAUUCACUUCUUCAGCAAAUGAAUUGCAUGGAAAGGAGAUAAAUGUCUUUGAUGCAAAGUAAGGUAAAAAAAAAUAGAGGUAGAGUUAGGUGGAGUUUGUUUGUUUUGACUUUUUAUUAAAAGUAAUUUAUUUUCAAAAUUUAGGUAGUUUAUUUUUUUUAAAUUUUUUAUCACUUAUUAUACAUUUUUUAUUGAAUAGAAAAAAUUAAAAUAUUUAAUUUUUUUUAAAUAGAAAAAAUAAUAUAUUGAUUUUUUAUUACUUUUUAAUAUUUAAUAGAAAUAAAAUAUUAUUAAAAAAGCAACCUAAUAUUUAAUACUAUUAAGUAUUAAGUUUCUAUUUAGAAUUAAGCAAAAAAACAAACACCGCCUUAGAAUUUUAAGUGUCUGCUAAAAAAGCAAUGAAAUCCCAAUUUUAGCGAAAAAGAAGAAAUGUGAAUCCUAGGUUUUGAACUUCAAAACUGAAGAAAAGAAUGUACAAUUUAUUCAAAACUUUUAGGCCCCACUUAAAAACAUGGAAAAUUUGACAAAAAUAAAUAGGAUAGACGGUCAGCAAGCGGUUAAGUUGAGGCUGCCCAACAUAAUUGACAAAAUGAAACCGUAUGGAAAAUGGAGACUUUUGGGCCAAAAUGGCCCAUUUUUGAAACUUAACAUUGAAAGUGGGCUCAUUUCCAAACUAUUGUUCAAAAUGGCCCCUUGAAGCCACAUCAACCCAUAAAUCAAUAUUUUAUACUGUUUUUACUUUACCAUUUCCAUCCCCGUGCUCUGUUAUCUCCCGUGCUGUUGUUCUCUCUUCUGUGUGAUUUUUUUUUCUAAACCCUAGCCCCACUAGUGGGCCACUAAAAAAGACGGUGGAGCUACAAAGCAUAAAGUUUAAGGUGAGUCAUAAUCUUCUUUUUGGCUUAUAUAAGUUUUUGGCACUUUCCAAUUUUUUUUCCCAUCUCAAAAUCUCAGUUUUUAGAAAUUUUUUUUUUCCAUUGUUGUGAAUGAUUGGUUAGGGAGUGUGGUUAUGGUGAAUUAAUGGCUGUUAGUAUCAGAUUUUGGGGCAGUCGUUGGGGAGGAUUAGGCUUGCGGUGUCGGCAUUGAGGAGCUACUCAGUCUACGGAAAAACAGGUGAGAUGGGCUGUGUUGAUUGUGUUUUGUUGCUCUGUUUGGUUGGUGAGAAUUGGCUACAAGGAGAGUAAAUUAUUGUCACAAAAAACCGAGGCCCUCCCAUUGCAGCUGUUGGGCUUAAUUAAAAUGAGUUUUUAAUGUUCUGAAAAACAGAACAAGAAAAGGAAAUGAGCAUGAAAAAGAUGGUUGUUGCUUAAAAAAAAUGGAGGUUUUGGGUUUGUUUUUUUUUUUGUAUUUAAGUCCAUGUUUGCAAUAACCUUUUGUUUCAAUAAGCAGCUGACCACCAAAAAAUUAUCCAAUUUCUAUUUCAAUAAUUUAAAAUUUGUAUUAUAUUUUAAAUAUUUUUUUAGGUAUCCCAGGAUUAAUAUUUGUGUGUGCAUGAGUCAUGACUCUCAAUCAAAUUAAUUUUAUAUAAUAUUUGAAUAGUAAUAGGAUUUAUGAUAAUAUUAUUUAUAUACUAAAUCCAUCUCCAUAAUUUUUCAAAGAUGAAAGAAAAAAAUAGGGUUAAUUAUGUAAAUUUGUAGUGUGAAACAGUUGCUUGAAACGGAUUAGGAGAGGUUCAAAUUGGUUUGGACUUUGGGUAGAAAAUGCAUUACACAUAGAGAUUAGAAUGCAUUUUUAAUUUAAAUUUGAAAAUAACAAAAAUAUAAUAUUCUAUAAUAUUUAAAUAAUAAAAGGAUUUAUGAGGAUAUUAUCAUAUAUAUGAAAUUAACUUAUAAGAUUUUGUAGUUAAGGGGAAAAAAUUAGGAUUAAUUGAAAAGAUUUUUUUGAAAUUAUUAUGGGCCAUUAAUUAAUAAUAUUAAUAGCCAUAGAUAACAGAUUUAAAAAAAAAAUGAAAGUUGUAAAUAAUGAUAAAUAUAUUUGGAUGGAAUAAUUUUUAAUUCUUUUUUCUUUUUUUAGAAUUUGAGUGAAAUAGGGAAUGUGUUUGCUAAGAAUUUCAACCGACUCAAUAGAUAAUGUGAGUCUCCAAGCCAUGUUUAAGAAAUCUGGCGAUAUUCUGUUUUGUAAAGUGGUUGUGACCUUGGCUGAACCGAUGAUAUGUUGGAUUGAAUCUGUUCUUAAAGAUGUCUCCAACUUCUACUAGUUCUGAAUGUGAGACAACACAUUAUCAUUAAUAUGAUUGAAUUUAGGAUGUUUUAUUUCUGUAUCAGUCUACCCAUGCAUUCACUUACACUCAUUCCUUGUCUUUAAAGGAGGAAAGACCUCAACAUUCAAAAUAUUUUAUUUUUCCCAAACUGAAGUGAAGUAUUUGAUAGAAGUUCUACUAUUAUGGAAGUAUUGUUAUGAAUUUCUCAUCUAUUUGAGGUUAUAAUAUAAAAUACUAGCUUUUUAAAAGUAACGAAUUAAGGUCUGGGAAACGUGUUCUGUUAACUGUAGAAAUAUUUUUAUAUAUUUUAUGGUUAUUUAAAUAUGUUUUUUGGUUAUCUAAAUUUAAUGUUUCUAUCAUAAACUGGAUGUAUCUUACAUGAAUAUAUAUAUAUAUAUAUAUAUAUAUAUAUAUAUAUAUAACAUGUUUGCUAGGAAAAAAAUGAUUUUGGAUAUAAACAAUUUCAAAGUAAAAAAUGAAUAAAUAAUUUUUUUCUGAUCAAGAGAUCUUGAAUAAUUUUAUCUCAACAACUCUUAAAUAUAAAAUACUCAUCUAGAAUUUUUUUGCCUUGAUAUCAAGAAAACUUCUCAAAUAUGAGUAAACACUUUUUUUUUAAAAAAAAAAAAGCCAGAUUCUUAAAGUACAGAUAUUUUCUCUUUAAAAAGACUUUUGUAUUUGGUUAUAUCCAAAAAUUUAAUUUUUAUUUAAUUAUAUUUUUUAAAGAUAUCAAAAUUACCCAUACUUUUAAUAAAAAUAUUAUUAAAACAAAAUAGUAAAAGUAUAAAAUGAAUGGUCCAACUCUAAAAAAACCUAUUAUAAAAUAGACCAUAUACCUCAUGUUUGAUGACUCCACUUAGACUACUAGAUUGUGGAUGUGAUGGGAGUGGAGGAGGAUGAAAGGGAGGCCAAAAGUGAACCCAUCUGGAAAAACUUUGAUUAUGGGUUGGAGAAAUUGAAUGUGGGUAGGGACCAUAUUGUUUAUGUGAUCCUUUGUCAAUUGGGUUGUACUUCAUUUUCGUGAGUGCACACUAGACAGUAUUACAAAUGGUGUGGCCCUUGGACACGUCUAGAUGUUCAAGUAGGGUGUGAUGCCAGGGAAUAUAAAAAAAAAUUGCCAAGAAAGCAUUUUUAUUAUUAUACUAGAAUUUAGAAUCACAAUCUACAUGCUAUCUACAUUUUGCAGUGCAAGCAUAAUAGCAAGGAAGGUUAUCAAAUAUGAUUUUCAAGAUCUAAUUUUUAAAAUAAUUCCAAAUAGAAGAUCAAAGUUUUUAAUUUAUGUUCCAUAUAUAAAACAAUAUAAUAACCUUAGGAUAUGGUUUUUAUUUAUCAGAUAUUGAAAAUUAUUUUUUUACAAGGUUCUUUAGAAAAUCUCAUUUUUUUAUUUAAAAUAACAUAUUUAUUUUUAAAAAUAUAUUUAACAGAUAAUUUUGAGUUGUAAAAGAAUUAACAUAAUUAACACAUAUUUAUUUUAAAAUUUAAUUUUGAAUAUAAAAAUAUUAAUUUCAUUUUAUCAAAAAAAUAUUAAAAGUUAAUCUCAUCCUAAUUAUGAAAUUAGAAAAAUAAACUAAACAUGUUUGUAACCCAAACACAUGUAAAACAUUUUAUUGGACCACAAAAAUAAUAUUAAUUCAUAAUAUCAUCCUACUCUUUACUUAAACACUUAUUUGCUUAUACAUUGCUUUCAUUUGAGUUGAACUUGGUAUUUAGACAUGAAGCUUUGUUACAUUCCAAUAUUUAUUAGGUUUAUUAUUGUAUUUUAUGAAUCAUUGACCAUAAAGUAUUAUUUUUUACUUAAAUAAAUAUUAUUUUUUUUAUGUAAUAACCUUUUGUUAUUAUUUAUGGGAAGACAAUUAUGACUGAUUCCACAGUAGAAGUGCUAUGUUAUUGGAAUGGAACAAUUUUGAGGACAUAAAUGGAUUUGAGAUAUAUUGGAAAUAAUGUAGAGAUUGAGCCUAUAGAUGUACCAAUUCAUAUGACCUUUGUGGAGUUGUUGAAGAUGAUAUAUGAUAUCAUUGGUGUUGACAGAGACUAUCAGUUAGUCUUGAAAUGUCGUCAUCCAACUGAAAUGAACAAAUUUCAACCAUUAGUGGUGAGAAAUGAUCGGAUAGUUGCACGUAUGCUACUGGUGCCAUCGAAGUAUGGAAUGUCUUCAGUUCAAUUUUCAUAGAGCAAACUCCCAACCAUUAUCAUUUGAGUAAUGAAAUGGGUCAUUUGACACUAUUAUCAACAGGUGAUACUGAUGUUGAUGACGAAAAUGAGAGAGAUGAGGAAGAUGAUGCAAUCAACACAGAUGAGAUUCAUUUACCUAAUGAUGAUGAAAAUUGUUGUCAAAUAGAAAAUAUUGAUUUGGUGAUGGUCCAACAAGUUGUGGAAUGUGAAAGCACAAGAUUUGUGAACCUUGAAGUUGGUGAUAGGUCUAAUAAUCCUGAGGUUGAGUUUGAGGUUGAAAACAUAUCACUAGUUGCCUCCCCACAUGUACCCAAUUUAAUAUCUCUAAUGACAACCUAGAGGAAACAUUUGUACCCGUUUCAUACCAUAUGCCACCUACACCACAAUUUUUAAAUAUGGACGAGGCAAUUAAUUGUGUUGUAAGUGAUUGGACUCCAUGGAAAAAACCAACUUUAGGAAAUGUUGAUGGAGAAUUAUCAAUUGGCCAAAUAUUUUCCUCAAAAUCAGAUUUGCAACAUGCUGUGAAGAUGUUUUCCAUAAAGGCGUACCAAGAGUUUACUGUUUAUAGAUCAAAUGCAAGUGUGUUAGUUCUUCAAUGUAAAAAAGCACCAGAGUGCCAAUGGCGACUAAGGGCAAUGACAGUGAAAGAUACGGGUAUGUUUAGAAUCACAAAAUACAAAGUUCCUCAUACAUGUGUCAAUCCAUGUAUUAAUCAAGAUCAUUCACAGUUGGAUUCUAGCUUUGUAUCUAAGUAUAUUGAAACAUUGGUGAAGGCAGAAAUGACCAUUACAGUUGCUGCAAUUCAAGCUGUUGUUGCGGAACAAUUUGGUUACCAAAUUUCUUAUAAAAAAACAAUGAAGGCAAAAAGGAAAGCAAUGACUCGAUUAUUUGGUGAUUGGUACAAGUCUUAUGUAGAGUUACCCCGUUUCUUCCUUGCCUUGGAGCAAUCAAAUCCUGGAUGCAUUAUGUAUUCCAAAAUGGUUCCUGGAAACAAUCCGAAUGAAGAAAUUUUUCAGCGUGUUUUUUGGGCAUUCGCUCCAUCUAUUAAAGGGUUUGCACACUGUCGACCAGUUCUCAGUAUUGAUGGGACACAUUUGUAUGGAAAAUAUAAAGGGACUUUGCUGAUUGCUAUGGGAUGUGAUGGUAAUAACCAAUUGUUUCCACUUGCAUUUUCCAUUACAGAAGAAGAAAAUACAGAUAGUUGGAGUUGGUUUUUGGCAUGUAUCAGAGUUGGAGUAACACAAAGGAAAGGGUUGUGUCUGAUUUCUGAUCGUCAUCCUGGCAUUAUAGCUGCUGUCAAUGAAACAUAUUCGAGAUGGACUCAGCCAGAUGCUUGUCAUAGAUUUUGCAUGCGUCAUUUAUCAAGUAAUUUCAACACAAAGUUCAAAGAUAAGACUUUAAAGGAUCUCAUGUGUAGGGCUGCUAUGGAGAGUAAAGUUAAAAAAUUUAUUUCUCACAUGGAUACAAUUGGCCAGAUAAAUGCCGAGGCUAGAAAUUGGUUGGAGCAAAUUCCUUUUGAAAAAUGGGCACUCUCAUAUGAUGGUGAGCGGAGAUAUGGGAUUAUGACAACUAACAUGUCUGAAGUUUUUAAUGGUGUCCUUAAGGGUGCUCGUAACUUACCAACAAUAGCUUUAGUCCAGUUAACUUUCUAUCUGGUUAACAGUUACUUCACAGUCAGGCGGGAGCAUGGUGCCAGUCGACUCGCUUCAGGUGAAGAAUUCACUCCACAUAUUGACGCCAAGAUAAAGGCUAAAGUUGUUAAGGUGGGUGCACAUGAGGUUCUUUUGUAUGAUCAUGUGGCGGGACGUUUUCAUGUUAAAACUAGACACUCUGUUGGAAGCAGUAAUAGGAAACCUUGCACAUAUCAUGUUACCCUUCAAACGGGGUCUUGCACAUGUAACAAAACACUUUUGUUACGAUUCCCAUGUUCGCACAUUCUUGCUACUUGUCAUUGUCAAGCAAUUGAUUUUCGAUAAUUUGUACAAGGUUAUUACACCACACGUGCUUACCUAUCAACAUGGGCUCCCUUGUUUUAUCCCAUAUUUGAUGAGUUGGAGUGGCCUCAAUAUAAUGGACCGAUAAUUGUGCCUUCAAACUCAAUGAAACGGCUAACUUCUGGUCGAUCAAAAUCAAGUCGUUUGCAUAAUGAGAUGGAUGCAGGGGAAACUAGGACUCCACAAACAUGUGGACUUUGCAAACAAUCGGGUCACAAUCGAUGUUCUUGUCCUAAUAGAGAAACCAAUGAUAGGAGGAGUUGAUGUACUUCAUGAACAUCUUAUUGUACUGUUUUUUUUUUUUUUUUUGAAUUUACUAAUAUUGACCUUAAUCGUUUUAAGAUAUAUGUAGAAACUAGCUUAUUGAACAUCUUAUUAACGUUUGUUUGUUUGAAAUUAUUAUUUUUUGUCAAUUCAUUCUUAUUUUGCUUAUAUCAGGUUACAUGAAAAAAAUAUUAAUCUCCAUUAUUUAGGGGAGAUGCUGUUCAAAUUUUUAAAAUUUUAAUAAUGAAAUUCAUGUUGUUAGAAAUUGUUGUUUUUUUGUCAAUUCAUUCAUAUUUUACUUAUAUCAGGUUACAUUGAAAAAUUUUGAAUCUCUACUGUUUAGGGGAAAUGCUAUUCAAAUUUUUACAAUUUUAAUAAUGAAAUUCAUGUUGUUAGAAAUUGUUGUUUUUUUUUUCAAUUCAUUCAUAUUUUACUUAUAUCAGGUUACAUUGAAAAAAUUUGAAUCUCUACUGUUUAGGGGAAAUGCUGUUCAAAUUUUUACAAUUUUAAUAAUGAAAUUCAUGUUGUUAGAAAUUGUUGUUUUUUUGUCAAUUCAUUCAUAUUUUACUUAUAUCAGGUUACAUUGAAAAAAUUUGAAUCUCUACCGUUUAGGGGAAAUGCUGUUCAAAUUUUUACAAUUUUAAUAAUGAAAUUUAUGUUGUUAGAAAUUGUUGUUUUUUUGUCAAUUCAUUCAUAUUUUACUUAUAUCAGGUUACAUUGAAAAAUUUUGAAUCUCUACUGUUUAGGAGAAAUGUUGUUCAAUUUUUUACAAUUUUAAUAAUGAAAUUCAUGUUGUUAGAUAUUAUUGUUUCUUGUCAAUUCAUUCAUAUUUUGUUUAUAUCAUGUAUUGAUGUACAUGCAGACAUGGAUACUUCGUUGUUUCGUGCUCGUCUUGACCCUGAGGAUACAUCUGUGCUUACUCUUCAGCAUCAACAUCGAUCAUCCACCAUUCGUGUUGAUCCAGAUAUGGGUAGUGUUUUGACUUGCUGACACAGGAUGCUUCGAGAGUGGGUUUUGGAUGAUCGUGUUCGGCCAUACAUUAUACAGUCAGGAUUUUAUGUCUUUCAUCGAGUGGGCCAUGUUAAGGUUGAUUGGCCUUUGAUUACUGCACUGGUAGAGAGAUGGCGCCCAGAGACACACACAUUCCACAUGCCAGUUGGUGAGAUGACCAUCACAUUGCAGGACGUAGCCAUCUUAUUUGGAUUACGUGUACAUGGCCAUCUUGUCACUGGUUCUACAGAUAUUGAUUGGCAUGCACUUUGUGAGGAGUUAUUAGGUGUUCGACCGACAGAGACUGAUAUUCGUGGAGCAUCCCUUACAGUUCGUUUUAUUACUACCCAUUUCUCCCACUUACCACCAGGGGUUGUAGAUGAGGUUACUUUACAACGCCAUGCUAGAGCUUAUCUUUUAUUGUUAGUUAGUGGUUCAUUAUUUACAGAUAAGAAGGGGGUUUACAUCCAAUUAGCAAUUCUACCCAUGUUAAGAGAUUUUGGUGAGACUGCACAGUAUAGUUGGGGGAGUGCGACACUAGCACAUCUUUAUCGGGAGUUAUGUCGAGCUAGCUUAGAUAGCGCAGAAUCUAUUGUAGGACCAUUACAUUUGUUGCAGGUAUAACUACUAGUCUUAUUAAUUAUGUAAUUUUGUCAUAAUUAUGUGCAUUUAAACAUAAUUUUAUUUCAUUUUUAGCUAUGGUCAUGGGAGCGAUUACAUGUGGGUCUUCCUAGUAGAUCACUUCCCCAUGCACCAGUGCCUGUAGAUGAGAGAUUCCCACCAGAUGCACUAGGGAGUAGGUGGAGUGUUACCUUAUCUCAUACAGACAUUCCUCAUCAUGUGUUGGUCACAUACAGAGAUGAGUUUGAUAAACAGCGAUCUGAUCAGGUUUGGGCUAAAUAUUAGUAUUCUUUAACAUGAACAUCUUAAUAUUAAUAAUAUAAUUUAUACUUUAUUAAAUACAUACUCAUCUAUGAAUAUAUUAGGUAUUAUGGCAGCCUUACACAGAUGAUAUACUAGCGCUACUUCCAGACAUUUGUUUAGCUGAUCAGGAUAUUUGGCAGACGAUGUCACCACUUUUUUUUUUUUUAUAUUGUUGAGUGGCAUCGUCCUGAGCGUGUGUUGCGACAGUUUGGACUCAUAUAGGGUAUUCCUUCGACACCCCCUAUAGAUUCUGACCUUCACUCCAUAGAUCGACGUGGUCGACCUCAGUUUGAUUAGAGGUUGUAUCAUGAGCACUACGUGGCAUUAUGGGAGGCUAGAGGGGACCACAUUGUCACUGCGGAGCCUAUAAGGCCUCAUAUGGACUACCAUGCUCUGUACAUGACAUGGUAUCGUCGUAUUACACGUCGUUUUAUUACACCUAUGAAUGAUUUUGGACCUAUGCGGUACCAGACUACUGCUUUAUUUGUCCACUUAUUGGUUUGUAUCACUUUAAUAUUAUAUACAUAUUCUGUAUAAUAUUUAUUCCAAUAAAUAAUUAUAUAUCAUUUUAUGUGACAGAUUGAGACUAUGACAUCAAUCAUAUCUCGAGGAGGUCAUGCAUUGGAGGACUCUGAUACUGAUGCUUGCCGCACUGGUAUUGUUGAUAUUAUUCGUAUGGCCACUGAUGUUAUGUGCAUUAUUCGGGAGGAUUAUCGUUCCCACAAGUAGAGCAUGGAGGAGAUAGGUCACUAGCUCAGUCAACAGUUGCUCGACCACCACUUGUUCGAGGUCGGUCGACAUCUCGAGGGAGAGGUAGAUAUAGUAGUUGUCAGCCCAUCACAUUGUCAGUAUCAACAUCAUUACAACCCCCUACCUUUUUAUCCUCACAAUUAGUACAGUCACCCAUUUCUUCAGACGUACCAUCAGUGCAGCACCCUACUUCUUCAGACCCACCAUCAGCCUAACCCCUUACUUCUUCAGACCCACCAUCAGUACAACCCUCUACCUCUUUAGACCUACCUCCAUUACAACCUCCUAUCUCUUCAAACCCACCAUUAGUGCAGAUUGACACAUCUACUCAGCUAGAUUUACCGCCAGCCAUUCCGAGGGGUAGGCGGGGCCUACGUCGACCUAGAUUGCUACCUCCACCACCACCUCUAUUUCCAACUCUAGCCCCAUAACAGACAGAUGUUCUUCAUGUGUCACAUGCAGUACCUGCUACAGUUAGAGAGGAGCGUCCAAAAAAGAAGAGAGUAUCAGUUACACAUAGGUUCUCUCCUUGUGGAGGCAUGUGAGAUUAUAUAUGUUUUUUAUUUUCCACUAUAUUAAUGUUUAGUGGAUAUUUUUUGUGACUUUAAUUAAACUAUUAAAAAUUACAUUUUGUAGUAGACUUUUUGUAAUUAAUUUCAUUAACUAAUUUUGUAAAAAAAUCUAUAUAUGACAACUACGGCUUAAGAGUAUGUUAUUAUUUUGUUAAAGAUAAAUUUGUCAUAAUAGAAAUAAAUUAAUAUCUUAAAAAUUAACAAAUUAAAUAUCUUAAAUUAAUAAAUUAUACAAUUUUAUAUAUUAUUUAUAUGUUAUAUAAAUUUAUUAUUUUAAGAUUAUUAAUUUAUUAAUAAAUAAAACACUCAUUUAUAAUAUCUUCUAUUUAUUAAUUUAUGUUUGUUGAAGUAAUACUAGAUUUUUAAGUUUAAAUAUAAAUAAUUUAUUAUUUAAGUAUAUUUUUUAAAUUUCAAUCAUAAAUUGUGAUUUAAUAGUUUUUAAUUAAAUUUGAAAGUAAAAAAAAAUAUUAUAAUUGAAAUCUCAGUUAUCAACUACUAUACUAUUAUUUCGAUAAAGAUAAAUUUAUCAUAAUAUAAAUAAAUUAAUAUAUUAAAAAUUAACAAAUUAAAUAUCUUAAAUUAAUAAAUUAUACAAUUUUAUAUAAUAUUUAUAUGUUAUAUAAGUUUAUUAUUUUAAGAUUAUUAAUUUAUUAAUAAAUCAAAUAUUAAUUUAUAAUAUCUUCUAUUUAUUAAUUUAUGUUUGUUGAAAUAAUACUAGAUUUUUAAGUUUAAAUAUAAAUAAUUUUUUAUUUAAGUAUAUUUUUCAUGAAUUUUAUUUUAUAUUUAUAAUAUUAAAAAUAAAAUAGAAUUAACAAAAAUAAGUUAAAAUUAUUUUAUUAAUAUAUAUUGACAAAUAAAAGAUAAAAAUUAUAUAUAUAUAUAUAUAUAUAUAUAUUUAGAAAAAUUAAAAUGAAAAAAGAGAGACAAUUGUCACACAAUGGUCUCCCUUUGUCACACAAUGGAGAGACCUUGUCAAUCGGGAAUGAAGUUACACUUUUAAAAAUUACUAGUAGAAAGCACGUGCGAGGCGCAUGAAGAUGUACGUAGGUAUAUGAUUGUGAAUGUGCAGAUAAAUGGAAUGAAAGAUAUAAUGUUUGAAAAGGUAAUUAGUAAGUGAAUUAUCUUUUAAUAUAGAUAUAAUAAUUUAAAUUUCUUUACUUUUAAUAAUCUAUAAAUAAUUUUAAAUUGAUUAACAUAAUAUAUAAAAUGACAUAAUAUACCUAUAAUUUAAUUAAUCCAUAAAUAAUAAUUAUAAAUAGAAAUAUCAAAAUAUUAUCAUAUUUGAUUAUAGUAAUAGAUACUAUAUAGUAAUAUAUUAUUAUAAUAUAAGAUGAUAUUUUACCUUUCUUUAAAUUCUUUAUAUUUUUAUAAUUUAGUAAUUAAGUUAGUUAUUAAACUUAUCUUAAAGAUCAUAUAUAUUUUUUUUUAAAUUUUAGUUUCUUGUUCAUCAAUAUUUCAAAUAAAUUAUUUAAAUUAAAAUUUAUUAUUGUAACUCAAGGAUGUACUUAAAGAAAAAUGGAUAGAACAUAAAAAAAAUAUGUUAUUAUAGUCACGAUUUAGGUAAAAUCACAACCAAACAAAUAUGUGUCAUAAUUUACAAGUUUUGUAAUCCACCAUUGUUGUAAUGUACUCUUUUAACAAAUUUACUUAAUUGGCUUCUUCCAUAAGUUUGAAGCAAUACCUGUUUAUCUUUAUAAUUGCUUGAGUUAAAUUCUUUUCUUUUCUCUCUUGCAAAAAAGUUAUAUAUAUUUUAAAAGGUAUUAGGUGAAAUAGAAAAAUGAUGCUUUAACCAUCGGUCAAACUAAUGAACCAUGAAUUAGUAAUUUUUUUUUAUUCAAUGACUGAUUUUAUUCUAAAAACAUUGAUUUAAAAGAUUUCAAAUUAACACUACCUAAAGGCAUUGAUAUAUAUGUAGAGGCUUUGGGUGUCAAUUAAGCCUAAAUAUUUAAUUACAUCUCUUCUAGUAUUUAGGCAUGCACACAUGAUACAACUUUUUGUUUGAAUUAUAUUACAUGGACAAUUACUUGUUGAAUAUUUAAAUGUUAAAAAUAAUAAUAUUAUUAAAGAAAACUUAGAAAUAAACAUUUAAUGACUCAAAUUUUCUUUAUUUCUGAAAUUAAAUUAUACUUCUCUUCUUUAAACAAUUUUUUCAUAAAUAAAUGUGUUUAGACAUUUUUCAAGAUCUUCGAUAAACAUAACUUUCAAAAUUUUCUUUUAACUUCUCUUCAUUUAUAUUCAUAUUUGUUUUGAAUUAAUUUUGAUUUAUCUAUUGAAAAUUAGUUGUAGUUUACAUUCUUUGUAUAAUAUUUAUUAUCAUCAUCAUUAUAAUAACAAAGAAAUGAUUAAAAAUAUUUGUUCAAAAAUGAGGUUAAAAAAUUUUAUAUAAGAAAAAUAAAAUGUGGUAAACUUGUUUUUAGGCAAACCCUUAAAUAUUUUCAUUAAUUAAUAAUAAUUUUUUUUUUUUUUUACAAAUUUUCCAAAUUCAUGUGAUAUAAUUUGAGUGAAAAUUUAUUAAAAACUCGAAAGAAAAAUAAAUAUUUGAUAUAUUAAUAAUUUAUACUUCUAGGUAAUAAAAUCUUCUUGUCCAACUCACGUAUUCAAUUAAUAAUCCUAAAUAUAUAAGAUAAUAAUUUUUUUAGAAAUUCUUAAGAGUCCAAUAAAAUAUAAAUUAAUAACUAAUGAAAUAUGUAAAGAAAAAAAAAUCAUAAUGCAAACUUUCUCAAAAUAUACAUUGAAAUUUAUUUCUUUUAAUCACUUUCAUCUUGAGUGAAAGGAGCCUUCCUUGAGCAAAUCAAUUGCAUGGAAACGAGAUAAAUGUCUUUCAUGCAAAGUAGGGUAAAAAAAAAUAGAGGUAGACUUAGAAUUUUAAGUGUCUGCUCAGAAAAAAACAAUGAAAUCCCAAAUCCCAAUUUUAGCGAAGAAGAAGAAAUGUGAAUCCCAGGCUUUCAACUUCAAAACGGGAGAAAAGAAUGUACAAUUUAUUCAAAACUUUUAGGCCCCACUUAAAAACAUGGAAAAUUUGACAAUAAUGAAACCGCAUGGAAAACGGAGGUAAGUCAUGUCAAGUGGGCCCAUCUGACCUACUACAUUAAAUUGUUUGGAAAGGGGGAAUUCAAACUGAAAUUGCCUGGAAGUGAUUUCCCAUUUGCCCGGAAAUUGCCUUGAAACUGGGAACUUAGCUGGAUUUAAAAUCAACAAACCUGGUUGUCAGUUGAUCAGCAACAACUGUGAAAACAAGUAAUGGCUGAAAGUAUUGUCACCGUUUUUCUAGAGAAGUUAACUGACCUGCUUUCCCAGGAAGCAUUUCUACUCAGCAGAGUGGAAGAGCAGGUGAAUCUGUUGAGUAUUGACCUCGAAUGGAUGCGCCAGUUUCUCAAAGACGCGGAUGCGAAGCGCAGAUAUGAUCCAAGAAUCAAGCUCUGGGUGAGUCAGAUCAGGGACGUAACCUAUGACGCCGAAGAUGUCAUCGACAGGUUCAUGUUCGAGAUGAAUCACCAACAGCAAGGAAGUCUCAAAUGCCUCAAGUUCCUUAAGUUACGAUUGGUUCACAAGCUCGAGUCUCGAAUCAGAGAGAUCAAUACCAAGAUUGAGAAGAUCAAGGCUGCCAAAUCAACGUUCAUUGUCGAAACCUUACCAGCUGCAAGCUGGCCCAACGAAGUUGUGCCACAUAGAGAGAGGAGGGCUCCGAUUGUGGAAGAAGUCAACGUGGUGGGAAUUCAAGAGGAUGCAAAAAGCGUCAAGCAAAAGCUGCUUAAUGGAGAGAUGCGGAGAGCUGUGGUGUCCAUCGUGGGCAUGGGUGGCUUGGGAAAGACUACCCUGGCUAAGAAAGUCUACAAUGAUAAUGAUGUCCAGCAAUGCUUUGAUUGUCAUGCUUGGAUUUAUGUCUCUCAAGAGUAUACAAUCAGGGAGCUUUUGCUAGGCGUUGCUGUUCGUGUUGGGAUUCUCUCCGAAGAGGAAAGGAGUAAAAUGAACGAGAGCGAUUUGGGGAAUAGUCUUCGUGAUUACCUGACUACCAAGAAGUACUUGAUAGUUAUGGAUGAUAUGUGGAGAAAUGAAGCUUGGGAUAGGUUGGGCUUGUAUUUUCCUGACUCGGUGAAUGGCAGCAGAGUGUUGAUCACCUCACGCAAUAAACAGAUUGGUCUUUAUGCUGAUCCACAAACCAUUCCCCAUGAACUUUCUUUUCUGACUGAAGAAGAGAGCUGGGAGCUCUUUCUCAAGAAAAUUUUUCUGGCUGGGAGUGCAAAUGCUGUUUGCCCCAGAGAAUUGGAAGAGUUGGGAAAGAAAAUUGUAGCAAAUUGUGGGGGUUUGCCCCUUGCAAUUGUGGUCUUGGGAGGCCUUCUAUCAAGAAAAGAAAAGACACCGCUCUCCUGGCAAAAAGUACUGGACAGCCUAACUUGGCACCUAAAUCAAGGUCCAGACUCAUGUUUGGGGGUCCUUGCUUUAAGCUACAAUGAUAUGCCGUAUUACUUGAAGUCCUGUUUCCUUUACUGUGGCCUUUUCCCAGAAGACUCAGAAAUCAGGACAGAUAAGUUGAUCCGCUUGUGGGUUGCAGAAGGGUUUAUACAAAGAAGAGGAGAAGAAAUAGCGGAAGACGUCGCGGAAGAUCACUUACAGGAAUUGGUACAUAGAAGCAUGAUUCAAGUGGCUGCCAGGAGUUUCGAUGGAAGAGUGAUGUCCUGUCGCAUGCACGAUCUGCUUCGAGACCUUGCCAUUUCUGAGGCCAAAGAUACAAAAUUUUUCGAGGGAUAUGAAAGCAUUGAUUCUACAUCCCCUGUUAGUGUUCGUCGACUAACCAUUCAUCAGGGUAAGAAGACUAAUUCUAAACACUUGCAUACUUCACGUAGUCUCCGAUCUUUCAUUUGUUUUUCUGUAUGCUUCCAAGAAAACAUUUUGAGAUCUUUACACAGGCGUGUCAAAUUGCUCACUGUACUGGACCUAGAACGCAUGCCUAUCAAUACCAUCCCAGAAGGCAUAGGAGAACUUAUCCACCUUAAGUACCUGUGCUUAAGGAGAACCCGCAUAAAAAGGCUUCCAUCGUCCAUAGGUCGUCUUACAAAUCUACAAACCCUAGACUUUCAAAGCACUUUCAUUGAAAUAAUUCCUUCUACCAUUUGGAAAUUGCACCAUUUGAGACAUCUAUACGGUCGUGGUGUGGUUUCAAGCCAGUCAGUGAUAGAUAAGUGCAGGAAUGGCCCUUUGAGUGUUGACCACCUAACAAACCUCCAAUCGUUAGGUUUAAGAGCAGGCAGUUGGUGCUGUGGUGAAGGCUUGGGAAAAUUAACUGAGCUUAGAGAACUGAUAAUUGAAUGGACCAAAAUGGCACAAACAAAGAACCAUGGAUUUUCCGAGUCAGUAAAAAAGCUAACUGCUCUUCAAUCCUUGCGUUUGUAUACUUUAGGAGCGGAAAUGUUUACCUUGCCGCACCUCAUGCCUUUCUCAGACCACACCUACCUUUACCAUCUAAGUUUAAGAGGAAGGCUCGAAAGGUUCCCUGAUGAAAUUGAAUUCUACCCUCCAAACCUCAUCUCCUUGGAAUUGGAAUGUUGGAAUAUAGAGCAAGACCCAAUGGUGACCCUAGAGAAGCUGCCAAACUUGAGAUUUCUCAUAUUAUCCCUUUGUUACUCUAUGGUAAAGAAGAUGGUCUGUACUUCUGGAGGAUUCCAGCAACUCGAAACCCUUACGCUCUGGGGUUUGAAAGAAUUAGAAGAAUUGAUUGUGGAGGAAGGGGCAAUGCCUGAUCCGAAGGAUUUAGUAAUUGAGACUUGCCCUAAAAUGAAAAGGCUUUCCCAUGGAUUGCUGCAACGAAAAAAUUUGCAGCACCUAAAGUUGUAUGAUUUGUCUCCUGAGUUAAUGGAUGAGCUUUCUCUGAUAGAAGGAGAAGAUCGGGAGAAGAUCUGCCUCGCCACCUCAAUACACGGGUGGAGGCGUACGGCAUCAUGAAGGCUCAGGAGAAGUUUCAUAAAGCGCUACCAGGAAAUGCUUGGACUGUAUUGAAGAGCAUUUCCAAUGCAACAAAUCUUUCUCUACUUGUCUAAGCUCGUCUUUUUCCUUGUUUUUUCUGCUUUUGUGAAACAUACGUGUUUGUGUAAGAUGCUUCCACGUUUUCAAAUAAAGUGAUCAGU